UUAGGAAUGUGUUUGUUAGAGUGGGGCCAAGUAUUUUGUUAUUUCUCUGAGCAAUUACUUAAGUGUCUUGAGUGGGAGGGUAUGGGUAUCUUUUUGGACAUAUGAUGGAAUUAAAGAGCUCACCUGUCUUAAAAUAACGAUCAGGCAUCUGAUGUCCUUUAACGAUAGUGGCUUCUCCUGCUCAUAAAACUCCUCAUUGUCAAUUAUUAUGAGCAUGUGCCUGAUUGAUAAGGAAAGAAGUGAUCAGGACAUGCCGAAUCUUAUAACAUACCAUAUAAUUAUAUAACAUCAGAUGAGGAAUUAAAGCGAAAUUCAAAAGUAGAGGAACAGGAAUAAAGAAGAUAAUCUUACUUGUACACAGGACAAAAAACAGCCAAAGGUAAUAGCCAACCAGGUGCAUCUCCUGAUAAAUAUGCCAAUUUCUCUGAAAAGGAUGACCAUUUUUUAUUCUCGUGGCACUUUUUAAUAAAACUCCAGAGUACUGGAACUAACUCCAUUCUGUAUGCUAGAAUAGUCAUAAUUUUUUAUGUCCCACACCAAGUUGUACUUAAAAAGAUCUUUUCAAAAAAAAUCUAUAGAGUUUUUUUUUCUUUUUUAAAUGAAGUACAUGCAUGUUAUGUUUCUCGUUAUUGAGAAAACAUGACCUUUAAACCAUUACUAACGCCAUUAUAUCCAAACAGCAAGGUACACGAACCUAGUAGAGGAUGACACAUGCAACUUUGUCCAUUGGGUAGAGAGAGGUGUGAAAUGUGAAUGUCCGCCACAGUAAAGGAAGAGUAAGAAUUUGAGAGGAGAAACUCCAAUUGGGAUCAACACGUGGGCAACAACAUGGCUUCUUACCAACAUGAGAACUCAAAAGAGACAGCAGAUGUUCUAGAGAAGCCAAUGAACUCUUGGAAUGUGAAUCUGCACUUUCCUGCAAUAGUUUGAGUGUGAAUUAGUUCUCUGAAAACACCUGCAGAGGAUAAUCCACGGCAAAACAGAAUAUCUAUAAAAAAAACCACUUGCAAGUAGAAGAAAAAGGAAGUACAUUUAUACCUUCCCUGUCAAAGUGAUAUCCCUAAUCAACGCAUAUGCAUUUCUUUCCAGGAAGUAACCAACAAUUUUACAAACCCAUGGGAGUUCAGGUUGUAAUAAGAAAAUAAUUGUGUCUAACAAUAGAGUUGCAGGUGUGUUAGAGUUCACAGGUGCAGCCAAAAGUUGAUUCCUCAAUUGGUUUCUAUCAAGAACAACAUCAAGUAAGAAUAAUUCAGAGGAAAAAUAAAGACAACUUAUCAUAUAUAUAAAUAAGAUUAGUCUGAAUUCGUUAGCUGAAGGUAAAAAAACCUUUAUGUCAGUUAUAUAUAUCUGAACAAAAUCUAAGAAAUAUAUCACUUUUCAACAAAAGAAAUAUAUCAUAUACAAUUAAAGGAUCAGCAUAGAAAGCCAACAAAAUCAACAAUGAUAGAUCAAACAUCUGUUCUUCCAUUCAAAACGUUAAAAAGGAUAAGUUUUUAAUAAGGAAUGUUGAAAUGGAAAAAACUAAUUACCUAUUAUGGUGUACAGUCUGGAUGCAAGCAUAUGCAAAUUUCUUAACUCUCUAAUCCACUAAGGCCUUGUUAAGUACAUAAUCCUUGCUAGCGAAAAUGCUCAACAUAUCCCCUAUAUAUGUAAGAGAGAGAAAGGUAAGAAAGUACUAACACUAAGAGAUAUGUGCUAUCAAUUAGAACACUUUAAGAUGAUAUUAUCAAUUAGAAAACCAAGCAUAGAGCAACAUAAGGGAAAAUAACAAACAAGGGCACCACAGUGGUUCAGAAACCAAUCAAUAUUUUCAUUUGUCACUUUUAUAAUAAUUUCCCAAGGGAAAACCCUCAUAACAAGCCUCGUUUUCCCCCUACUAUGGAACGGGGAGGAUUCCUCCUCUUUUCAAAGCCCUCGUCAAACUCAAUGCUAAGUUUGACUGCUCCCUUCGGAGUGACAACAAGCCUUGUUUUCCCCCUAAUGUGGAUCGGGAGGAUUCCUCCUCUUUUCAAAGCCCUCAUCAAACUCGAUGCUAAGUUUAGAACGCUAAGAGUAGGUGGUUUGGUUUUGGUUAGGCCAAAAGUAAAGUUUUCUGCUAAAAGCUCUUAUAGUUAGGGAACUCAACACAUUCUACUUGACCGAACCAAGUUGGCUCUUUGCUUUUUUAUGGGAUUUUUCUAAUGUAUAUUGCAUGUGUUGUUUGUUUUUUUUAUAGCUCUUGAUUGUCUAACCUUUUUACGUUUUGCAUUUGCAAGUCUCUCUUUUGUUUCUUUGGUAUGCAAUGUGGUAACAAGGUCUUGCUAGAACCGGUGGGCUAACCUUUCUAUGGUUCUAAACUUAGUUUCUAAGUUUGACUGCUCCCUUCGGAGUGACAACAAGCCUCGUUUUCCCCCUACUAUGGAACGGGGAGGAUUCCUCCUCUUUUCAAAGCCCUCGUCAAACUCGAUGCUAAGUUUAGAACGCUAAGAGUAGGUGGUUUGGUUUUGGUUAGGCCAAAAGUAAAGUUUUCUGCUAAAAGCUCUUAUAGUUAGGGAACUCAACACAUUCUACUUGACCGAACCAAGUUGGCUCUUUGCUUUUUUAUGGGAUUUUUCUAAUGUAUAUUGCAUGUGUUGUUUGUUUUUUUAUAGCUCUUGAUUGUCUAACCUUUUUACGUUUUGCAUUUGCAAGUCUCUUUUGUUUCUUUGGUAUGCAAUGUGGUAACAAGGUAUUGCUAGAACGGUGGGCUAACCUUUCUAUGGUUCUAAACUUAGUUUCUAAGUUUGACUGCUCCCUUCGGAGUGACAACAAGCCUCGUUUUCCCCCUACUAUGGAAUGGGGAGGAUUCUCCUCUUUUCAAAGCCCUCGUCAAACUCAAUGCUAAGUUUGACUGCUCCCUUCGGAGUGACAACAAGCCUUGUUUUCCCCCUAAUUUGGAUCGGGGAGGAUUCCUCCUCUUUUCAAAGCCCUCAUCAAACUCGAUGCUAAGUUUAGAACGCUAAGAGUAGGUGGUUUGGUUUUGGUUAGGCUUAAAGUAAAGUUUUCUGCUAAAAGCUCUGAUAGUUAGGGAACUCAACACAUUCUACUUGACCGAACCAAGUUGGCUCUUUGCUUUUUUAUGGUAAUGUAUAUUGCAUGUGUUGUUUGUUUUUUAUAGCUCUUGAUUGUCUAACCUUUUUACGUUUUGCAUUUGCAAGUCUCUCUUUUGUUUCUUUGGUAUGCAAUGUGGUAACAAGGUCUUGCUAGAACCGGUGGGCUAACCUUUCUAUGGUUCUACAUUUAGUUACUAAUUAAGUUUGAUUGCUCCUUCGAAGUGACAAUAAGUUUUGUUAAUGUCGACCCUUUUCUAAAGGGAUUUAGUUCACUGUGGCUAGACAAGAGGCUUCUAACUCAUGUUUGACAAGAUAAACUUGUUAAAACCAUCCCAGUUUCUAAAGAGUGCCUCCUAUCCUUUGUUACUCUAUCUAGGCUAGGUUUGGACUAAGUGCGUCAUAGGUAAGUCACGACAAAGCAACAAAGGAAGACAAAGCUAGAAAAGUAUCCAUGCACUUAUUUAUUAUACAUGUAAUCAAGCAUUCACAACACACAUACCUUUCUCAAUCAUGCAUUCACAUCUCAAUAAGAAAUAGCUAAAAGGAGCUUAAAACAAAAAGACAGCAGCUUAUGCUCAAAUUUCAGCACAUAUACUCAUCAAAAUUCAGAAUUUCACAUCAUAAACCGAGCUCAGUGCUCAAGGGUUGCCAAUCAUGCUUUUUAUGCAACAUCUAAUUAAGCUAAGAAGGUAUAAUGCUCAUUAUUGUAUGGAAAGAAUUCUGAAAAUUUUUGAAAUUUGGCAAAAUUUGAACCCCAAGUUUAACUAAACAUGCAAGCUAAGCAAGCUAUUACCCCACCCACUCAAAAAAUUGCUUUUUCUGUCCUAAAAGCUUUUGAAAAUCAAAGUAAAUGGAGAAAAAUAAGGGGGGAACUUUGGACUCCCCUGGAAGGAUCGACAUCCUUGACUUUGGUUUGAAGCUUGCAUGGAUAAACCUUUUCAUUCAUUUUUCAUUGAUUAUUCAUCCUUGUUCCUGAAAAUCAAAGGAAAUUCUCUCAAUUUUAUAUAUUACUAAAAUUAGGAUACAUAUAAGUCUUAACUAGUCUAAUAGCACCUCCAUUCAUCUUCCCCUACACUGGCUACGGUAUCAAAAUUUUCAAUUAAGUAAUACGUCUACUAACGAACUUGAAAACAAAACACAUCACACUAAAAACACAAACAUCACUUUAACCCAACAGAAGCAACUCUUUUUACCCUUGCACUCACUAUCACAUUACUAUCAUGUUUGUCAACUGUCAAACUAACUCUUUUAAGUUAUUUAGUGUGACUACAAAGUUAUGAACACCAUAAUCUUAAUUAAAACCUUUUAAUAAACAAAUGCCAAGUUACUACUCAACAAUGGCAAGGAAUUCAAAAAACAUGACAGCUAUCCUAAUUGGUUGAAAAUGAGAAAAAGAAAGUUAGCCAGACAACCUGUUUGGACUACAAAGCCAGCAGAUACGAUUCCUCAAAUUUGACCAUUCACUCUCCAUACUCUACAAGUCUUCAAGCACAUGAUGUUGCUUUCUUUCAGAUGAGCAACAUCAUUCCGAUCUUAACAGUCAGAAGAGCAAAUCAAAUCAAUCCUAGCAUAUUCAAAAAUCACAACUAAAAAGUACAAACAUUACAAAAUAAAACAUGCAGCGAUAUCAACAAGCAUUCUGAUAAAUAAUUAGCCAACUAAUUGACAUUAAAAAAUAAAUAAAGAAAAAAAUCAUUGUAAAGAUCACUGCUUAAAUGAAAUUUGAAAUAUCUCCCAAUAGUUUUGAUCGGUUACCCGAGUUGUGAGAGUGGUCGGUUGAUAUUGCGUGCUUCCUUCAAGCGCUCCCCAGCUGCACCUGUUAGCUUCUGCCUCCGGAACCAGCUACUUAAACCAUCUGCCAGUCUCUGCAUAAUAAAAUGAUUAUGAGCCUAAAUUUUACAAGUACCAGUCCGUUGAAUAUAGAAACGUGAUACUCAUGCUUUUCCAUCCUAAACAACAGAACUAUCUGCACUUCGAUUUACAAAUUCAUUGCCUUUUUCCGACAGUGCCCACAACUGUUAGUUGUUACAGGUAUACUUCUUUUAUUUAUUUAUUUAUUUAUACUAAAUUCAAUAAUACCAUAUUCCAGAUGUUAGCAACAUUAUUUUAGCAUUACCUUGGAUCGGGAUUCAACAACACAGGUAAAAAAAGCAGUAUGUGAUAGCGAACUCUCAGGAACGGUCGGGUUAGAAGAGGGAGGCCUAGGUGGAAGCGGGCUCUUCAGGAUUUGGAAUCGAAAACCGAUCUGAGGGUGGAGAAUUUUCUUUGGAAGACUUGGGUUUCCGAGGGGGUCUGCGGCCCUUGAUUUCGGCACCGUUAAGGCUAGAAGAAGAAGAAAGUGGUGGAUCGACGAGAUGGGUAUGUCGCAAGAUAGAGUUUCUUGGCUGCUUCACGUUAGAGAGGAAGAGCGAAAUUUUGGAGGUAUAGGAAGAGCGAAACGGAAUUUGAGAGAUAGGAAAUCGCAGGGUUUGAGGAAGACGAAGAAGAGAAGGGGAGAUGAGAGGCAGAGUAAACCGAUCGAGAAGAAAAAGGGGAAAGAAAAUUGAAAUAAAAGAGACCGUUGAGGUUGAAGAAGAGGGGAAAAAAAAUUGACCGUGGAGGAGAGUUAUUUAAUUUUUGGAUUAAAUAUUUUGUAUGAAAAUUAAAAAAGAAAAAGUUAGAAGGCAAAUAUUUUCUACUUUUUUUUAUUAUUUAUUCUAUGAAAAUUCAAUAAUAAAAAAGCAUCUAUAUUUGCUUUUGGUAUGGUUCACAUUUUUAUUUAUUUGACAAAAAUCUAACUAAAUUAUCAUUCAUUUUUGACCUAAUAUUGCAAAUAUAAAUUUAUAUUUUGCAUCUUAACUACUCUUUGGCAUUUAUAAUAUCAUUGUUCCACACCUCAAUUUUUUUAUUGUUGUCAAAAAUAAACCUAAUCCAAAAUGAAUUAGCAAAUUAGGGAAUAAAUGUAAUCAUUGUUUUUGGGAGUUUGAAUUCGACCGUGAUUAUUGUUGAAUAAUUUUAUUUGGGAUGCAAGUUUUCACUUAGACAUGGACAUUUUGCUAUUUUAGCAAUUUAAAUUUAAAUUUUUCUUUUAUCAAAAGUAAACCUCUUGUUUUAAUGGUUUUCUGGUCAUCCCUUUUAAAUACAACUAAUGACAAAUGAAUAUAACAAUUAAGAAAUUCGUAGAUAUAUAACAACAUUUUAAACUAAUUGCUGCAGUUAUUUUAAAUCACAUAUGUCAUUCGCUUAUAAGGCAUAAGAGUCUAUUAACGAUAUAAAUCUAUCACAAAUAUACUUUGCUACAUUUACAAUUUUUAAAAGAUAUUGUUAUAUACUUAAUUAUUAUUCAUAAAAUUGCUAAUCCAUUAUACUUACCCUAAGUUAAAUGAAUAAUGUCAAAAGUAAGUUUACUACGAAGGUAAUUUGUGUGACCCUUUUAUCCUAACGUAGGAAGUUUGUUCCACUCCAUACCAUUAUUGAACUAAGAAGAUUAAGUGUGUAUUAGUAUGUUUAAACAAGUAUAAUUAUAGAAAAUUCUAUGAGUGAUAUAUUUAUAUUAGCAAUACAAUAUGUGUUACAUAUGCAAAUAUUUUGUAUCUAAUCGUUGUAUUUGCAAUUAACUCCAUUAAAAUAUACAAAUAUAAACAGAACUCUUUAACCUGAGUUUAGCUAGGAUCACAAACUACAAAAAGAAAGUAUGGAAUAUAUUUUAUAAAUAUUUUGGUUAAGACUCUAAAUGAUAUAUGCAACAUUAUUUUGGUUAUAUCCAAUCUUCUUUGAAGGCUACGUACUUGAAGAUUUUAAUCAAUAAAUAAAAUGAAGUUUAAUUUUUAAAAUAAUAACAUUACAGUGGGAUGGUGAUCGGAAUUGAUUACUUUGGUUAAAAUUUAAAAUUAGAUAAAAAAAUCAAUUAAUAGAUAAUUCCAACUAAUCAAAAUAACUAAAUAAAAGACGAGAUUUGAAAAUAUAAUAUCCUAAUAGACACUAAUAGACUUAUAUUAAUAGAUAAUUUCCUGCCGAUGAAAAAUUACUAAAGUUGUACUAUAUUUUAUAAAUAUUUUAAAACAUUACAUAAACACUAAUUAAAGUUGGGAUUAGUAGCAAAAAGUUACAAAUUUAUGGACACCUUCUUUUAGGGAAAAAAAUACAAAGUAAUAUUACCUUGACAUGAUGUAAACUAAAUUUGUAAUCAGCGUUGAAAUCUCUACUAUAUUAAAUGCGCUCGUGGAGAAAAAAAAUUAUAUACAUCUAUUUUAUUCUUAAAUUGUCGAAAAAAAAUUAUAUUACUUUUUGUGAUCUAACGUAGUUGUGACUUUUCUAUUGUAAGUGUCCAUUUUAAUGUUUGGAAAGAAGAUUUUUCCAAUUUUUUAGUUUACAAAAUAAAGUUCUAUAUUUUAAAAAAUAAAACCUUAUGUCGAAUAUGUGUAACUAAUAUUGAUAGGAUGUGACUAGUUGAUCUUCGAGAUACGAUGCAUUCUGUUUAGAGUGGAGAUGGUUGCACACACAUCAAAUUGGUGCAUUGAUUCCUCCAAACUUACAUGUAAAAUGUACGUGUAAAAGAAAAACAAAAUAAACUCUUGCAGUUACACAUUAGAAAAAAAAACGUCACGGAAUCCCAAAGUUCAAAAGAAAACAAACACACACAAAAGGGGAUUUAAUUGAUUCAAAGUAGUAACAAAUGGUGAAAAAUUGCAUCAUUUCUUGUGAUUUCACAUUGACAUAUUAGAAUAAAAAUUAUCGUAUUCUAUAUAUUACAAUAUUUGAUCAAAUAUUAAUACAUUAAUUCAAUUAUUUAAUUACUACAACAAUGAAUUUCUUUUUCUUUUUUAAAUAAUAAUUUUACCAUUAAUAUUGUAUAAUAUUUAUUUAUUAUAUGCUAAAGCAUAUUUAAAAAUUAAAUUGAAAAGAUUGAAACAAUAGUCACAAAUGAUUUUUUCAUAAAACAAAACAUUUGUAACCAAAUCUAAAUAUGCACUUUCAUAAUAAAGGACCAAAACUCAUAUUGCGUAGAAUUGAGCAUGGUUUAAAUGAAAUUAUUAAGAAAAUACUUACACUUUACACCAGGUUUUUUAGCAACAUAUAUAGUGAGAAAACUCAAAAUUUACCCUCUUACUUGUAUCUUUUCAAUAAAAAGUGCAUCUUAGUUGUAAUUAUGUCAAAAUAAAAUAAAAAAAAGAACCAGUCAAUUAACAUGGUUAUUCAUUAAUUGAUUUGGGUGAACUUUUUGAAGAUAAAAAUUCCCUAUUCUUGGUUGAGGAGCUUUUCGAUGAAUUAAAUGGAGCAAACUGGUUUUCAAAGAUUGAUUUAAAGGCGGGGUUCCAUCAGAUCAAAAUGUGUAGAGAAGACAUCGAAAAAAUAGCAUUUCGAACACAUGAUGGACACUAUGAAUUUAUGGUUAUGGCAUUCGGCUUAACUAAUGCCACAUCCACUUUCCAAGCUCUAAUGAACUCAAUAUUUAAACCAUUUUUGCAGAAGUUCAUAUUAGUAUUUUUCGACGACAUACUAAUCUACAGUGAGAACUUGGAAAAUCAUCUGAAGCACAUUGGGUUAGCAUUGGAAAUCCUGAGAAAGAAUGAGUUAUAUGCAAACCAGAAGAAGUGCAGCUUCGCGCAAGAACGUAUUGAUUAUUUGGGUCAUAUCAUUUCAGGACAAGAAGUUGAAGUGAACCCGAGAAAAUCAGAGCAAUCAGGGAAUGGCCUAUACAGUAUAUAAGAGAGGUACAAGGAUUACUAGGCCUCACCUGUUACUAAAGAAGUUCGUUCAGCACUAUGGCUUCAUUGUCGCACCUUGACUCAACUACUUAGGAAAUGGGAUUCCAGUGGACUGAGGAGUCUAAGGAGGCAUUCCAACAACUACAGAAUGCCAUGAUGACCCUGCCGUUUUGGUGUUGCCUGAUUUCAAUGCCACCUUUGAAAUAGAAACAGAUGCAUCGAGAUAUAGGGUAGGAGUCGUACUCGUCCAAGCCAAGCGCCCCAUAGCAUACUUGAGCCAUACGUUAGCCUUAAGAGAUAGGGCCAAGCCUGUAUAUGAAAGGGAAUUAAUGGCAAUAAUCUUGCCUGUGCAACGAUGGCGAUCAUAUCUGUUGGAAAGAAAAUUUAUUGUGAAGACCGAUCAGAAAUCCUUGAAGUUCUUAUUACAACAAAGAGUGAUACUGUAACGACCCAACUUUUCUAGGUAAGUCGAGGUCAUUAAUUUUUAACAAAAGACUUUGAUUGAUACAAAAUGAAACGUAAGUCAAUUUAAAAACAAAUUAUGUCAGGCCUGAUUUUCAAAUAUUCAAGAAACUUAAAAUAACUAUUUACAAAUAAAAGUUUGUAAACUAAGUUUUUAGUACAUCUUAAAUCAAAAGAAACCAUAAGCGGAAGCAAAAUGAUACGUUUCUAUGGCAAUCACGCUUCCUUCCUGCCCUCGCCGGUUUGCCACCUUUAUUUCCUUUGCCUGAAAAUUAACAUAAGAAGGGUGAGUAUAAAUACUCAGUAAGAGACCCUCUACUGGUCUCGUCAGGGGAAAAUAAAUUGUUAAGUUCUAUUGGGACACCUGUACAGUCGCAGUCUUGUGAUCCGUAGGAUACACAUUUCAGUCUAACGCCCGAAGGACGUACAUAUCAGUCUAACGCCCGAGGGACGUACAUAUCAGUCUAGUGUUCUGCAGAACACAUAUCAGUCAAAUGCUCCCGAAGGUGCAAAUAAAUUGGUGAUCCCGUGGGACACUACAAGGUAAACAUCCAAUACAACCUAACAAUUUUCCCUCAUUCAUUCAACCAUUUUCAGUUACUUCAAAUCACAAAGUCUUUUCUUUCAAAUCCUACAGUCAACUUAUUUUACUACAGUCAUAUGUCUGUCAAUAAUAUGCUAAUACAUCAGUCAAUCCACUAUACAGUCAAGUCAAUACACUCCUCAGUUCACCAGCACAAACCACAGUUCAGUAUAAUCCACAUCCAACUGAAACAAAUUCACUAGUUCACAUCCAAUCUUUAUACAGCACAAUCUAUUAAUAUCAUCAUGUACACAGAAGCAUAAUUUCAGUCAUUCACAUGUAUACUUUCGGCAAUCCACAUCAAUUCACACAUCACUGUAUAUAUAUAUGUUUCCAGUCAAAUACAACAUACACUAAACAUUUAGUCUGCAAUCAAACAUGUACAUCUUAAUCAUCAUCCAUACAGUCCAACACAACUCAAAAACUUUAGGUGAGUCCAGUAGAAAAUCCCUUACCUUCAAAUUUGUUAAGCUCCUUAACCACGUUGAAGUCUAUGAAGAACGAACCUAAACAUUAAGACAAUUUCUCAAUAAUUCCCUUCAACGCAUCAGUCAUUUAAAUUCAACCCAAUGUGAAUCUUUUUGCAACUUACCCAAAUCUUCGCGAAAGAAAUCGAGCAGUGGCUUUGCGAAGAGAUGACGUGCGACGGAGAGACCGUAUACUGAUGGCCGGAGAGUCGCGCGGCAGUGCAGACGACGGAGGAGAAGGAAUCGGCGGCGGCUGGGCUGAAAACAGAGGAGAAAGGAGAGGGGAGACAGCCGGCGGUUACAGGUUCACGCAGCGGCCUUGCUUCGCGAACAGAGAUGGCGGCGGCGACGGUUGCAGCGACGUCCGGCUGGGUUUGGACGGAACGGAGAGGAAAAGAGAAGAUGGAGAUGGCCGACGGCAGUUGCUGUGCGAACGGAUGGGGCGGCUGACUGCGGUUGGCUGCGGCAGGACGGGAAGAAGAAUAGGGAAAAUGGGUGGGCGGCUUAGGGUACCGGAAGGAGAAGAAAAGAAAAAUGAGAGGGGUUGUGUGCGCGCGAGAGAGAGAGAUAAAUUUCUUUUUCUUUUCUUUUUAUUUAAAUUAAGUAUAAAAAUAUAUAUAUAUAUAAAAUUAAAAACAAAAUAUAUAUAUACAUACCUUUGGGGCAUUACAUUCUUCCCUCCUUAAGAAACUUUCGUCCUCGAAAGUUCUAAUCCUGAAAUAACUCUGGAUAACGAGUCCUCAUUUCUUCCUCUCGCUCCCAUGUCGCCUCUUCAAUUCGAUGAUUCCGCCACAAAACCUUUACUAAUGGAAUGCUUCUAUUACGAAGCAUCUUUACCUCUCUAGCCAGAAUCUCCACAGGUUGUUCUACAUAGCUCAAAUGUUCAUCAAUCUCCAAGGGUUCAUAGUCCACUACAUGAGACGUAUCGGCCACAUACUUCCUCAACAUCGAAACAUGAAAAACAUUAUGAACUGCAGAGAGAGAUGGUGGUAAUGCAAGCGAUACGCCACAACACCAACCUCUCUAAGAUCUCAAAUGGUCAACAAAACGAGGACUUAACUUUCCUUUCUUCUCAAAACGCAUAACACCCUUCAUAGGUGCUACCUUCAAGAAUACCUUUUCUCCCACAUCGAACUUAAGGUCUUUUCGUCGUACAUCCGCAUAACUCUUCUGUCUACUCUGCGCUGUUUGCAUACGUGCUCUAAUCUUUUGAAUAGCCUCAUUAGUAGACCGAACUAAUUCAGGUCCCAUCAAUCUAUGUUCACCAACCUCACUCCAACAAACAGGGGUUCUACAACAUUUGCCAUAUAAAGCCUCAAAUGGUGCCAUACCGAUGGUAGCCUGGAAACUGUUGUUAUAAGCAAACUCCAUCAAAUGUAGAUGAGAGUCCCAACUACCUGGAAACUCUAUAACACAAGCUCGUAGCAUAUCCUCUAAAACUUGGUUCAAACGUUCAGUUUGACCAUCAGUCUGUGGAUGAAAGGCUGUACUGAAAUCCAAUCUGUACCCAUAGCAGUCUGAAGUCCCUUCCAAAACUUGGAAGUAAACCGUGCAUCCCUAUCAGAAACAAUCGAUACAGGCACUCCAUGCAGUCUCACAAUCUUAGUUAAAUACAACUCUGCCCACUUACUAGCAGUAUAAGUGGAUUUUCCUGGUACAAAAUGUGCGAUUUUGUGAGCCUGUCUAUGACAACCAGAAUCACUGUGAAACCCUUCAGGGUCUUAGGCAGCCCUGAAAUAAAAUCCAUCGACACAUUCUCCCACUUCCACUCUGGCACACUUAAAGGUUGUAGUAAACCUGCUGGUUUUUGUCUAGGUGCCUUAACUUGCUGACAUACUAGACACUUACUAACAAAUUCCGCCACUUCUCUCUUCAUAUUCCGCCACCAAUAAAAUCGUUUUAGAUCCUGAUACAUUUUCGUGCUACCAGGAUGCAUGGAAAAUGGGGAAUUAUGGGCUUCAUCUAGUAAGUCAAUCUUAACUGUACUGUUCGCUGGCACACAUAAACGUCUCUCAAACAUCAACCCACCAUCAGAGGAUAUGGAGAACUCAUCAGUCUGCCCUGUUUCAACAAGGCUACGUCUCUCCAUCAAAUAAGGAUCAUUACUCUGAGCAUCAACAAUCUUGUGCCUCAGAGUCGGUUGCACCGUUAAUUGAGCUAGCUGUGAGGUGACUCUCCCACAGACACUUGAAUCUCAGCUCUCUCCAAGUCUCGAUGCAAUGGUACCUGUCUAGUAAUGAGUGCUGCCGAAUGUGAUACUUUUCUACUAAGAGCAUCAGCCACCACAUUCGCCUUACCAGGAUGGUAUAAUAUCUCACAGUCAUAAUCUUUUACCAACUCGAGCCACCUUCGCUGUCUCAUAUUCAACUCCUUCUGAGUGAAGAAGUACUUUAGGCUCUUAUGGUCAGUAAAGAUUUGUAUCUUUUCACCGUACAAGUAAUGUCUCCAUAUCUUCAAUGCAAAAACCACUGCUGCCAACUCCAAAUCAUGUGUGGGGUAGUUCUGCUCGUGACUCUUCAACUGACGAGAGGCAUAAGCAACCACCUUACCUUUCUGCAUCAAAACACAACCCAGUCCUUUCUUGGAAGCAUCACUGUAAAUCACAAAACUUCCAGAUCCAUCUGGUACAGUAAGGACCGGUGCAGUAACUAACCUUUGCUUAAGUUCUGAAAACUAUCCUCACAAGCUGGACUCCAAACAAACGGAGUUCCCUUCCUUGUCAACUGAGUCAAAGGAGUAGCCAAACGUGAAAAAUCCUCCACAAACCUCCGGUAGUACCCUGCUAAACCCAGAAAACUACGAACCUCACAACUGUGGAGGGUCGAGACCAACUGGUAACCGCUUCUAUCUUUGCAGGGUCUACUGAAACUCCCUCACUGGAAACCACAUGACCAAGAAAAGCCACCUGCUUCAACCAAAAUUCGCACUUCGAGAACUUAGCAUACAGUUUAUUGACUCGAAGAGUCUCUAACACCUUAUGUAAUGUUCCUCAUGUUCGCUUCAGUCUUGGAAUAAACCAAAAUAUCAUCAAUGAAGACUAUCACAAAAGUGUCCAAGAAAUCCUUAAACACCCUGUUCAUCAAAUCCAUAAAUACAGCAGGUGCAUUAGUCAAACCAAAAGACAUACUAUGAAUUCAUAAUGUCCAUACCUCGAACGAAAGCAGUCUUAGGAAUAUCACGGUCUCUAAUCCUCAACUGGUGAUAACCUGACCGUAAGUCAAUCUUAGAGAACACCGUGGCUCCCUGUAACUGAUCGAACAAAUCAUCGAUUCUGGGUAAAGGAUACCUGUUCUUGACUGUUACUUUAUUCAACUCUCUAUAGUCAAUGCAAAGACGCAUCGACCCAUCCUUCUUCUUCACAAACAAUACUGGUGCACCCCAAGGUGACACACUAGGUCGAAUAAAGCCUUUGUCAAGCAAUUCCUGUAACUGUACCUUCAGUUCUUUCAACUCAGCAGGAGCCAUCCUAUAAGGGGCUCUAGAAAUAGGAGUAGUGUUUGGCUCCAACUCAAUGGCAAAAUCAACCUCUCUAUGUGGCGGUAGUCCUGGAAGAUCUUUUGGAAAUACAUCUGGGUAUUCUCUUACCACAGGUUCUGAAGUUAAAGAAGUCUCACCUUCCCUAGUAUCCACCACACUUGCCAAAAUACUCCAAGUACCCUGGCUGAGUAGUUUACUAGCUUUCAUAGCUGAGAUUACUUUAGGCAGUACUACUGUUCCUACUCCCUUGAAUUUAAAGCUAGAUGCAGUAGGGGGACUAAACACAACUUCCUUACGAGAACAAUCAAUACUAGCAUGAUUAGUAGCUAGCCAAUCCAUACCUAAAAUUACAUCAAAGUCACGCAUAUCUAAUACCAACAAGGUUACGUCCAGUACACGACCAGCUAUCAAUUUCACAUGCUUUAAUCUUUUCCUUAGACAACAUAAUUUCUCCAGACGGUGUAGACACUGACAAAACAUAGUCUAAGGGUUCCACUCUAAGCAUGCAUGCGUCACAAAAAGCGAUGAAAUAAAUGAAUGAGAAGAUCCCGAGUCAAACAAGGUCAAGGCAAAAUGCCCAAUACUGGUAAUGUACCUGUCACUACUGUGCCGGCCUUCUCUGCCUCUGAUCUAUUAGUGGCAAAGAUUGUACCCCGCUGUGGAGGUCUCUCUCCCUGACUGCUCGAUCCAGCCCCAGUAGAUCUCAAGGGACACCUAUCAGCCAUGUGUCCCUCUUGCUUGCACUUAUAACAGACUCUCGUUCCCAUCAAACAACGACCCAGGUGGCGUUUCCCACACGUAUUACAUACUGGCCUCUCUUGAGUAGUGUCUCCUGCACCGCCAGAACUCUGCUGGAAACUGCGAAAAGAAUCACCGGUCUCAUGUUCCUCUGAGGAACUCCUACAGUUCUCUGCUCUACUUUUCUCUUUUGACCCGACGACGAUCCCUUAUUAAAGCUCCUUGGCUGUCUUUCAUCCUUCCCAAUACUCAUAUCCACUGCCAGACGCAGUGCUUCAGCUUGGGUAGUGGGCUUUAGUGCUCGCACAAAACCCCUAAUUUCAUCUCUCAAUCCCUUGACGAACCUAUCAGCUCUAGCCUGCUCAUUACUAACAAGCUCAGGGGCAAAACGUGACAGCAUAUCAAACUCCUGGUCGUACUCCUCGACUGUCAUAUAUCCUUGCUUCAACUCCAAGAAUUCCUGGCUUUUGGCGUCUCUAAGGUUAGCCGAGAAAAACUUGGUAUAGAAGCAGUCCUUAAACUGAUCCCAGGUAAUCUGCCUCACAUCUCCACCUAGCAUGCGCAUUGUAGUCCUCCACCAGAUAAUGCCUCUGUCCCUCAGUAGAAAAGCAGCACACUGAACUCUGUGCUCCUCAGGACAUCUCAUGUAAUUAAAUAUGGUUUCCACAGAGGACAACCACAUUUCAGCUUUAGUAGGAUCCUCCAGUGACCCAUCAAACGUCUGAGGGUCAUACUUCCGAAAGUCCCUCAAAUGUUUCGCCUCAGCAGAAAGUUGGUUAGGUAAUUCUUGUGCAGGAGGGGCUGCUGGUGCAGGGGGAACUACAGGUGCAGGUGGACUGCAGGUGCCUGCUGGUUUUGAGCUAUGGCUGUCAUAAGUUCUGUAAACCUCUGCUCCAUGUGAGCAGACAGUGCAUCAAACUCAACGUGAGUCACGGGUGCAGCAGGAAUUCGCUGUUCAGCUUGACCCUCAGUAGGCUGAUUACGACCUGCUCCUCUACCUCGGCCUCCUGCUCCUCUACCUCGGCCUCUACGACCUCCUCUACGUACUUCUUCCCUUGGCGGCAUAAUUCCUAUUAUCCACCAACAACACUCUUUAACAAAAUCUUAAUCAUAAACAUAAGCAAGUCUUUAUCGUCAUGCAAUCUAGUUUAAUUUAGGCAAGGUCAUGCAAAUAAACCAUACAUAUAAGCAUCAAGCAUACCUGACGAGAGACGAAGGGUCGCGUUAGCCAUAGGAACACAAAAACAUAGACUUACAUCGUAAGUCAGUCUACAGAACCUAAAACUUAGGCUCUGAUACCAACUGUAACGACCCAACUUUUCUAGGUAAGUCGAGGUCAUUAAUUUUUAACAAAAGACUUUGAUUGAUACAAAAUGAAACGUAAGUCAAUUUAAAAACAAAUUAUGUCAGGCCUGAUUUUCAAAUAUUCAAGAAAACUUAAAAAUAACACUAUUUACAAAUAAAAGUUUGUAAACUAAGUUUUAGUACAUCUUAAACUCUUAAAGAAAUCAUAAGCGGAAGCAAAAUACACGUUUCCUAUGGCAAUCACGCUUCCUUCCUGCCCCUCGCCGGUUUGCCACCUUUAUUUCCUUUGCCUGAAAAUUAAACAUAAGAAGGGUGAGUAUAACAAUACUCAGUAAGAGACCCUCUACUGGUCUCGUCAGGGGAAAAUAAAUUGUUAAAGUUCUAUUGGGACACCCUGUACAGUCGCAGUCUUGUGAUCCCGUAGGAUACACAUUCAGUCUAACGCCCCGAAGGACGUACAUAUCAGUCUAACGCCCCGAGGGACGUACAUAUCAGUCUAGUGUUCUGCAGAACACAUAUCAGUCAAAUGCUCCCGAAGGUGCAAAAUAAAUUGGUGAUCCCGUGGGACACCUACAAGGUAAACAUCCCAAUACAACCUAACAAUUUAUCCCCUCAUUCCAUUCAACCCAUCUUUCAGUUACUUCAAACACAAAGUUCUUUCUUUCAACAUCCUAACAGUCAACUUAUACUACAGUCAUAUGUCUGUCAAUAAUAUGCUAAUACAUCAGUCAAUCACUAUACAGUCAAGUCAAUACACCCUCAGUUCACCAGCACAAACCACAGUUCAGUAUAAUCCACAUCCAACCGAAACAAAUUCACUAGUUCACAUCCAAUCUUUAUACAGCACAAUCUAUUAAUAUCAUCAUGUACACAUAAGCAUAAUUUCAGUCAUUCACAUGUAUACUUUCGGCAAUCCACAUCAAUUCACACAUCAAUGUAUAUAUAUAUGUUUCCAGUCAAAUACAACAUACACUAAACAUUUAGUCUGCAAUCAAACAUGUACAUCUUAAUCAUCAUCCAUACAGUCCAACACAACUCAAAAACUUUAGGUGAGUCCAGUAGAAAAUCCCUUACCUUCAAAUUUGUUAAGCUCCUUAACCACGUUGAAGUCUAUGAAGAACGAACCUAAACAUUAAGACAAUUUCUCAAUAAUUCCCUUCAACGCAUCAGUCAUUUAAAUUCAACCCAAUGUGAAUCUUUUUGCAACUUACCCAAAUCUUCGCGAAGAAAUCGAGCAGUGGCUUUGCGAAGAGAUGACGUGCGACGGAGAGACCGUAUACUGAUGGCCGGAGAGUCGCGCGGCAGUGCAGACGACGGAGGAGAAGGAAUCGGCGGCGGCUGGGCUGAAAACAGAGGAGAAAGGAGAGGGAGACAGCCGGCGGUUACAGGUUCACGCAGCGGCCUUGCUUCGCGAACAGAGAUGGCGGCCGACGGUUGCAGCGACGUCCGGCUGGGUUUGGACGGAACGGAGAGGAAAAGAAGAUGGAGAUGGCCGACGGCAGUUGCUGUGCGAACGGAUGGGGCGGCUGACUGCGGUUGGCUGCGGCAGGACGGGAAGAAGAAUAGGGAAAAUGGUGUGGCGGCUGCUAGGGUACCGGAAGGAGAAGAAAAGAAAAAUGAGAGAGGGGUUGUGUGCGGCGAGAGAGAGAGAUAAAUUUCUUUUUCUUUUCUUUUAUUUAAAUUAAGUAUAAAAAUAUAUAUAUAUAUAUAAAAUUAAAAACAAAAUAUAUAUAUACAUACCUUUGGGGCAUUACAGAUACAGCUUCAGUAUCAGAAAUGGGUAGCGAAGCUAACGGGAUACUCAUUUGAGGUGGUCUACAAACCCGGCUUGGAGAAUAAAGCAGCAGACGUCUUAUCUUGGAUGCCUCCUACAGUUAACCUCGGUAGCAUAACAGCUCCUACAUUGGUUGACAUUCUGGUGAUUAAAAAGGAAGUCGAAGCGGAUGAAAAGUUGAGCAAAAUAAUGGAAGAACUACAAGCAAUGGAAGAAGGAACAGAGGGUAAAUUCUCCAUCCGACAAGGUAUGUUAAGAUAUAAGGAUAAGUUUGUGCUGUCCAAAACAUCUACAUUGAUACCCACAAUCCUACAUACUUACCAUGAUUCGGUACUUGGAGACCAUUUGGAUUUUUAUGCACAUACAAACGACCAACUGGUGAGCUAUAUUGGGAAGGAAUGAAGGCGGAUGUUAAGAAGUAUUGUGAGGAAUGUGUAAUAUGUCAGAAGAACAACUCCCUAGCACUAUCCCCCACCGGACUGCUGCUGUCCCUGGACAGUCCAAACAAUAUUUGGAGCGAUAUAUCUAUGGACUUUAUCGAGGGCUUACCAAGAUCGAAUGGUUUCGAAGUCAUCUUUGUAGUGGUGGACAGAUUCAGCAAAUAUAUUUGUUAAGGAGAUUGUCCGACUUCAUGGCUUUCCCAAAUCGAUAGUGUCCGACCGAGAUAAGGUAUUCUUGAGCAACUUUUGGCAAGAAAUGUUCAAAAUGGCAGGCACCCGAUUAAAUCGAAGCACCGCUUAUCACCCUCAGUCGGAUGGGAAAACUGAGGUGGUUAAUAGGGGAGUGGAGACGUAUCUGCGAUGUUUUUGUGGAGAACGGCCUAAGGAAUGGUCAAAAUGGAUACAUUGGGCUGAAUAUUGGUACAACACUACUUUUUAGAGAUCCGUAGGGGUCACUCCAUUUCAGGCUAUCUAUGGACGUAUGCCACCACCAUUGAUGUUUUAUGGUGACCGGGACACUCCAAACACUACCUUAAACGAAUAGCUCAAGGCAUGAGUUGAAAUUCUGGGAGUCCUAAAAGAACACUAAUUCGUGCACAGACAAGAUGAAAAAUAACGUAGACUUGAAGCGUCAUGAUGUGGAGUAUGCAGUUGGCGAUAUGGUCUUCCUGAAGAUUAGGCCCUAUAGACAGAUCUCAUUACGACAAAAGAAAAAUGAGAAACUAUCCCCCAAGUUCUUUGGGCCUUAUACGAUUGUGGAACGCAUCAUACUGGUUGCGUAUAAGCUAGAGUUGCCAGCAUCCGCUUCCAUCCAUCCAGUGUUUCAUGUGUCCCAACUCAAAAAAAUGGUUGGUGAUCAUCAACUUGUACAGACAGACAUGCUGCCUUACGUUACUGAAACUCACGAGUAAAUCUAUACCGGAGGAAAUAUUUGGGUACUCGAAGAAUAAAAGAGGAAGCUGUGAGGUUUUGAUUAAAUGGCAAGGUCUCCCUCCUCAUGAGGCAACAUGGGAAGAUUAUGACAAGCUCCAGUACAGCCUAGAAGCAAAAAGAAAGGCGUUAAACAUAACACAGGCCGGCAAAAUCAUACUCAGAACAGAAUAUAUUCUAUACUGACAUUAUUUUAGAUAUGCUCAGAAUCAUGCUUCUGCCUCAAAAAGUCAAAUCAAAAUAAGCUAGAGAGAGAGAAAAAAAAAGAGAGAUGAACAAAAGGAUUUUGGAACUUCCUCUUUGUGAGUGUGUGUGUGUGGCAGCUGUAAAUUAAUUUCCUAUGAGUUUCCUUAACACCCAAAUGUUGUAGGGUCAAGCGGAUUAUCCCGUGAGAUUAGUCGAGGGUGUGUGAGCUGGCCUAGAAUCUCACAAAUAUCAAGAAAAAGAAAACCUUGCCACCCAUCCACUUUGCAACAAAGAUUCAUGAAAUUAAGGGGUAAAAGGAAAAAGGUAUAGAAGCGGAUAGCAUCUUGGCUUCUUAUUAAAAUGGAAUAGUGUAACCAGACCUGGAAUUUGUAAAGCAUCCAUCCCAGGUAAUUCUUCCAAUUUCAAUCCUCCAACCCUCUUCCUAACACAAGUAAAUUAGAGACAACUUAUCAAAUAGAAGACCAACAGUCAACAUAGGAAUAAAAGUGCACAUUAUCAUGAGGUAUGAACAAAUAAAUUAAAGAUGUACAUAAGUCGCUAAAAUCAUACUCAGAACAGAAUAUAUUCUAUACUGACAUUAUUUUAGAUAUGCUCAAAAUCAUGCUUUUGCCUCAAAAAGUCAAAAUAAGUUAGAGAGAGAGAGAGAGAGAAAGAGAGAUGUACCAAAGGAUUUUGGAACUUCCUCUUUGUGAGUGUGUGUGUGUGUGUGUGGCAGCUGUUGUGGGGCACCUCUUCAACUUAUACUGAGACAGUCUUGAAGCAAAUAACUCCAAUUCUUGGGGAUCAGCAAUUCUUUCCUGUUCUGCCGUCCAGACACGUACUACUCCAUCUAAACAAGCUGUGACAAUAUCUCCAUUUUCCAAAAACUUGGCAUCCCAAACGCAACCAGGAUGCUCAAUGCUCUAGACACAAAUUCCAUCUGCAACAAAAUAAUCCAACUUCGUGAUACUAAAAUGCUAUUAGGGUUUAGGGUUUAUAAAUAAUUAUAGUAUAAUAAACAUAAUUCAAAUUUAAAAAUCAAGCUACAAAAAAAAAAAAAAAAACCCACUCUCUUAAAGAAAUUCAAUUCAACACAUAAACUUUAGCCAACUUCAACACCCCUUCAGGGCUUCACCAGUCCUUCGCCUUUCCACUAAAAGUUAGUCAUCUCUUCCCAACCAAAUGCUCCAUCAAACAGACUUCAAAUAGAUAGAGAAACAUUUCUCAUAAAUACAUGAAAGGUUCAACUCACAAACUCGGUUUGGCCACAGUGAAGGAUCUUAAACGAAGCUCAGUAUCUCAGAAUUAUGAUAGAACACCACAGCAGUGUUCGUAUAUGUUGAUAUAAUAUGAAAACUUACACGAAUUAUUGAGACUCUUCGUGGAUCAAUAGAGUAUUGAUCGCGAUUACAGAUUCAAAGCAAAAAUUACUCAAACUAAUAGCAACCAAAUAAAAGACUCAAGAACAAUUCAAAGAUGAACUUGGACCCUCUGCUUUCCCUCUCUCAAGGAGUAAUGUAGAUUUCCUUCCUCAAAGUUCCAUACCCCCUCCCUCUGUAGCUUCCUUUCUUUUAUCUCUUUCCUCUAACUCCCGGCCCUACCAAAGUGGUCCCCCCUGGUAGGUUCUUGUUUCACCUGCAAAAGAUUCAACCCACACCCACACAAAUACAAAGAAUAUUUCCAGCACACUCACAAACACACAGUACAAUGGAGAGAAGCUGAUAUAUGUGUGUAUAUAUAUUCAAUAUGGAAUCAUAAGCUUCAACCAAGUAAGAGGGCUGCUCUCUCCCCAAUGAACAACGUUCAUUCAAAAUACAUAAUAACCAAGAUAAUCAGCCCUAGCAAAAAACGCCUAUAUAUAUAUUCCCUUUCUGCUGCUGCCACGUGUUGUUAGGACCACUGGUCAUCCUAACAACCAUGUUGUCUAGGUGGAAUUUUUAUUUUUACCCCUCCUUUGGUAAAUGGGUGAUUGGAGGCCUAGUGUAACGGACAUACUUGUCCAAGGUGUGUUUACCUAUGGCCGUAUGCUCCGAUUAGCCCCAAUUUAUCUUGUCUUUAUGUCUUGUAUGUAGUUUAGGUAGUUGCUUUAAAUUUCAAGUCGAUAUGCUUGGGUGUGACGUUUCGGCAUUUUCAUAUGCAAGCCUACCAGAGAUGAAAAUGUUAAAAAUGUACUAUAGGGGAGGCAUACCUGUUGAAUCCCCGCCCAAGCCUUGUCGUACUCUUUGCAAUCUAUGCUUUCUUAUUGCAAUUGACAGUCUUCAAUGCUUGUUUUAACAAUGUUUUCAAUCAAUUUAAUCAUCUUUCACGUUUUCUAAAAAUAUUUUCCAAGAACGUGAGGGGAGGUUGAAGCAUGUGUUAAAGUUGUCCGCGAUUUGUGGAUUUUGAUCGGCUGACUUGUUCGUCGAGCUAGAACAAGUGCCGCACAAUCGUUCACAUCGUGUUUGAAGAAUUACGAUUGUGACAAGUGGUAUCAGAGCCAGGUUGGCUAGUUGACAGUGCGUGACAGAAAGAUGUCGGUGGCGAAACAGUCUAGCAAGACCCAUGAUGAGCGACUUGUGGGAAUCGAAGAGCAGAUGCUCUACCUGGUGGAAGUUCCUGAUUCCAUCCGGUUCUUGGAACAGCGGCUUGAGGAUAUUGCCAAGAAAGCUGAUGGCAUUGAAGCCGUGUCCGAUCGCCUUGACGGACUACCCAUCCAAGAGUUACUGACUAGAGUCGACACUCUAGAGUCCCGAGUAAUGAAACGGGAAAUGUCGCCUACGAGCUUGGGGCCAGUUCAUCGGGCUCUAUUGCCCAGAUGGAAGAACGAGUUAUGGAGCUUGAUAACUCGCAAAAGAACAUGUUGGAGAUGAUCAACGGCAUGACAGAGGAUUUUCGAGCAACCCUCGAUGUCGUGAGGAAUGAGCUCGCAUAGGUAAACACGAGGGUGAACCUUACUAUACGAGAACUAGCAAACCAGGCUCCAGCUGGAGGAGCCAUUCCUGUGGGCAGAAUCAAGGUUCCUGAGCCCAAGCCCUUCUGUGGGGCGAGAGAUGCCAAGGCAUUGGAAAACUUCAUCUUUGAUGUCGAGCAGUAUUACAAAGCCACGAACACAAUUACUGAAGAGGCCAAGGUGACGUUGGCAACCAUGCAUCUGUCAGAAGAUGCGAAGUUAUGGUGGAGGUCGAUACAUGGACAUUCAAGAAGGGCGUUGCACAAUCGACACGUGGGAUGCCCUAAAAGGAGAACUUCGUUCGCAAUUUUUCCCUGAGAAUGUCGAAAUUCUAGCCCGACGGAAGCUGCGUGAAUUGAAGCACACGGGAAACAUUCAGGACUACGUGAAACAGUUUGCGGGGGUGAUGUUGGACAUACGCGACAUGACCGAGAAAGACAGUUUUAUGUUUUGUCGAGGGCUUGAAGCCGUGGGCUAGGACCAAGUUGUAUGAGAAACGAAUUCAAGACCUCACGUCAGCAUACGCAGUGGCUGAACGGUUGUUUGACUUAUCUAGCGAAUCUCAAGAUGCAAGACGACAUCAAGCUUCCUCCUCUGGAGAAACAGAAACAACCGCCAAAUUCCCCGAAGACUGCAGGGGGAGACAAGCGACAAGGUGGAGAUCGCAAGCCUUCCAAGCGAAUACAGGAAACAACUGGCGAGGACCAAACAAUCAGAACAACUCCGGUCGUUCCAUCAGUUGUUUCAUAUGUAAAGGGCCCCAUCUUGCCAGAGAGUGCCCCAACCGUACCGCCUUCAACGCUUUUCAAGCUACCCUAGCCUCGGACUCAGAUGAUAGAUUGAGUCAGACUGAAGGAGACGUUGGACUGAUAGAAGAGGGUGAGAAUCCUCGGAUGGAGGCCUUAAAGUUUCUGUCAUCGCUCCAGAAGAAGAUGGGGAGACCAGUGGACAGGCAAAGAAUGGUCUCAUGUACGUAGACUGUUGGGUCAACCAGAAGCCACCCAAGAGCACUAUGGUGGAUUCUGGUGCUACUCAUAACUUCAUUGCAGAAGCGGAAGCCAGACGACUGAAUCUCCGUUGGAAGAAAGACGCAGAAAAAAUGAAGGCCGUGAACUCAGUUGCCCUACCUAUCGUCGGGUUGGUAAAACGAACGACCAUGAGGAUGGGAGAGUGGAGCGGUCCCAUAGAUUUGGUGGUUGCAAAGAUGGAUGACUUCGACGUGGUACUAGGUAUGGAGUUUCUACUUGAGCAUCAAGUCAUACCAAUGCCACUAGCCAAAUGUCUAGUGAUUACUGGAACAACGCCUACUGUUGUUCAAACGGAGAUUCGUCAGCCAUAUGGGAUAUAGAUGAUCUCGGCUAUGCAGUUGAAGAAAGGCCUUGCUCGUGACGAUUUAACCUUUAUGGCUAUCCCACUGGAGUCGUUGGAAAGCUCAAGGGAAACAGUCCCCAAAGACAUCCUGAGUGUCUUAGAGAAGUACAAGGAUCUGAUGCCAGACAGCCUGCCGAAAUCAUUGCCUCCGUGGAGAAUGAUCGACCAUGAGAUCGAAUUGCUGCCAGGGGCAAAGCCGCCUGCGAAGAAUGCUUAUCGUAUGGCGCGCUGAGUUGGCCGAACUUCGGAAACAACUGGACGAACUGCUGAACGCAGGAUUUGUGAGGCCUGCAAAAGCUCCAUAUGGAGCUCCAGUCCUUUUCCAGAAGAAGAACGAUGGAAGUAUGCGGUUGUGCAUCGACUACCACGCCCUAAACAAGAUCACGGUCCGCAACAGAUAUCCGCUACCAAUAAUCAAUGACCUGUUUGAUCGCCUUCAUGGAGCAAAGUAUUUCUCGAAGCUAGAUCUGCGAUCGGGCUAUUAUCAAGUAAGAAUUGCCAAAGAGGAUGAGCCCAAAACCACAUGCGUUACGAGGUAUGGGGCGUUCGAGUUCCUUGUCAUGCCAUUUGGUCUUACCAAUGCGCCUGCAACGUUCUGUACGCUAAUGAACCAGGUCUUCCAUGAAUACCUUAACAAGUUUGUGGUGGUCUAUCUGGACGAUAUAGUGGUCUAUAACUCCACGCUAGAAGAAGAAGAAAGGAAUAACAAAAACUGACGAACUCCUAUAGAUUGAAGUAUUAACCUUUCCAUAUCUUUGCCGAACAAUCUUCACUCCCACUAACAAUGACUUCGGAAGCAUGUGAAUCCACUGAAUACACAAUGGAAGUGUCACCAACCAUCUCCAUCAAUGUUUCACCACUUAGUGCCCAUAACCUAAUGGAACUGUCUGAAUGGAAAAGAAAAUCAAAGUCAACUUUCUAAUUAAUUCAAUAUUCUAAUAUAAAGAAUAUAACAAAUAGUCCUCCCAUGUGAAAUGAAAAGUGGUUCUACAGAUUCAGAGAAGGCAAUAGAAAUCACUCAUUUUAAUAUCAUUUAAUAUUUCAUCAACAACCUAUAGAGUUUAUUAAUCUUUUUCUUUCCUACUAAAGAAGCUCUAAUUUAUUACUCUAGGAAUGGUCCUUUCUAACUUAUAUACAGGUAACAAAAAAUAAAUUGAAGAAAUACUCUGAGCUUUUCCAUUUAGAAAUCCCAAUGAGCAAAGACUAAAGUCUUCUCGGGAUUCUUAGGAUGCCAAACUCCUCUCAUUGGAUAGACAUCAAUAUAUCUUAGAUGAGAAGCUACCUUGAAUAGCCUUGCUUCCUCAGCAUAUAAACAUAAAUAUAUUUGUUGUAUUCAAUCAAAAAUAAAAGAUAAGCUUGUUCUGAAACCAAUUCCAAAAAUCUCUUCGAAAAUAUGCUGGGAGAGUUGUUGUUGUAAAUAACUUGCGUCUCUUCGAAGGUUGGAAUUACAAUGUAACUUUUCACAUAUUAUGAAAAGUUAUGAUUCUUAUUAUGAAAGAAUGAAACUUCGAACUAGUUCCUAAAGGUAGUACUUUUAGCUGAUGUGGCAAUUUGGAUCAGCCAUGUACGGUUGCAUUCCUCAAUGUGAGUGAUAAUCAAACCCAAACUACCUCAAAGGAAUUAUUUUGUACAGUAACUCCAUCUUUACCAACUUGCGACAUAAAACUAUCUAGGGUUCAUGGGUUGGGGUAAGAAAACUUUUGGACCCAACCCACCAAGUCUUUUUAUCAUUAAGUUUUCUUCAUUUUUAUGUCAAUUGGCAUGUAUUUUAUAAGCUUUGAGAGAAGAAACUUAAUAUAAAUGUAUACUUGGUCAGAACCCCGUCAUUUAGCCUCAAUUUUCACAAUGUAGAGGUAUAGAAUUCAGAGAGGUUAUUUUAUUUUCUUAAAAUUACUCCCCAACUGUUAAUCUAUGAUUAACUUUUGCUAUAAAAAAUUAGUCCUUAUAUCCCUCUUCUCGAAAUUUGACAAACAUAUUAAUCAGGCGCCUUUUUCUGAAAAUAAUUGUUCAUAUUUUUUUUUUGAAACAGAGACAACCCUUUUUAUUAAAGAUGUAAGUAAAAAAGAGACUAAUGCUCAAACUAUAGGAGAAUUAUACUAAGAGCGAAAAGAAUGACCAAAACAAAAGUACAGACAAAUUGAACAAAACAAUCAAAAUCCUGAGAAAACAAUAGAAAACUGAGAACAAAGCGAACUUAAAACCUUUCAACAAGAAGCCCAAAAUCAGCUGAAAAUUGCAGACUAAAAACUUCAAACUAGAUGGAAGGAAACACCAAGGGAGAGCUAACAACAAUGCAGCUUUGUUGAAAAAAAUAUCCCUCCCAAGUCAUCCUUCGAUCUUGAGUGAGUGACUAGAACCAGAAUAUUUCAUAAGAACUUUAGAGGGCCAAAAUAAUAAUCAAUCACUAAAACAAACCUAAAAGAUAAUUGGCUGAAAAACCAAGAUCAAGUUAUUCUAUACUCAAACCAAAGUAGUUCCACAUUGCUCAACAAUUGACUUCAAGCGAUCUGGAACUUCACAUUGUCGAGCUUGUGAGGGAAAUAAAGAGACUUGUUUCUCAGUAAUUAAAUCCUCCCUUGUCUGAAAGCGGUAUUAAGAUCAGAUUCUAGAGGAUCCUUAAUCGACUGAUCAAUGUUUACAAUGAGUAGUGGAGGCACUUUUGAUUCAGAUUUUACCGAAGGAGCUCAAGGUAUCGUGCAAUGUGAUCGAUUUUCUUGGGACACAUAAAUAAAUCUAACGCCAAUUGAAACAUAAGGACUAGUAUUUGGAGCAUGAUAUUUCUUCCUAUCUCUACAUGUAAAGAUCACAAGAAAAAUAAGAAUUUCACAAAAUAACAGAAAACAAAAUUAGACAAAAUCAGGGCAUGGCCGAGGAUGAGAUUAGAGAUGAAGCGGUGAUUAGUAUUUAUUGAGAAUGGGAGAAAAGUAGAAUGUCAAACCAAUCCAAGAACAUACCUCACAAAUCUUCGGAGAGACGAUCGUGGUCAAAGCAGUGGUUGUGGUCGAGGAUGAGAUUAGGGAUGAAAGGAUGCUACGAAAGGUAUAUCAACAAGAAGAAGGGUAAAACAACAACAUCCUGUCAAAAAUCACUUAAUGUGAUUGAGAUCUUUUAACAUGACUGCUUGAGAACUAAAGAAAAAUUUAGAAUGUGACUGAGAACUUUUAGCACAACCGGGCAGCAUCUUCAAUAACAGAAAAACAUGCAUAAUGUAGGAAGACAGCAGAUUUAAAAUUAUGACAGUGUAUUUAUGAAUGUCAGGCGAUACAUUAAUGUUCCAAAAUUCAACCAAAGUAUGGGAUGAAAGAUAUACAAGAAUCUUCCAUGAUAAGGGCAAGACCAGGAUAUCCUUAUCCAAAAGAAAGAAAAAAAUAAUCAACCAAAGUAAAUUCCAUGUAUGAUUGGAAAUUAUGGCCAAGGCGAAGGAUGAAGUGGAGAAUAGAAGGAAUAUUGAGCAGGGUACGACUUACCAUUAGCUUAGAUCAAAACCAGCAUCCGCAUUUAUGGCAUAAAGAAAUUUGUUUGCCAGCUGCUCCUUGCUGCAUUGAUCACAAAUCAUAGAGUUGUGAAAAUGAAAACUUAUGCAGUUUUUUUUAUCCUUUUUAGAAAAGAUGUAUAUGUUUUAGUUCAUCCACAAAUCAACAGACUUAAUAAACUGAUGUAAUUCAAGUUGGACUUAGUUUUUCACAAUGAAUUCUCCACCAAUAGUGGCUAAGAGAUGGAGUAUAUAUUGAGGAUUGUAAGUAGUUACAAGUAGUUGAAAUAACUGUUUUUAUGAAACAGUUUUAAUUGCAGUCUUAACAGCUAAACAGUUUAAUUAUUUAAACUGUUUUACUAACUAACUACAGCUGUUUAGCCAUGGCAUUCUAUAUUACAUCAUUCCACCCCCUAGCAUGGAACUCGACCCGAGUGACUUAGUUGACAAGGCAGAAAUCAUCUGGGGCAUAGUACUGUUUCAGGUCUGCCACGUUAAAAAUAGGAUGAAUGUGCAAGUCUGGUGGUAGUUCAAUUCUGUAAGCGUUAUCUCAAAUCUUUUCUAGGACACGAAAUGGUCCUAAUUGUCUGUCUUUCAGUUUGUGUUCCAGUUGGAAAUCGAAUUUUUCUGAGGUGAAUCAUUACUAAGUCUCCCUCAGUAAAGGUAGCUUGUCUUCUCUUUUUGUCUGCUGCCUUUUUGUAGGACUGAGUUGAUUCUUUUAGGUGGUUAUGGACUUCUUCGUGUAAAUUCUGAAUCUUUUCUACCAUUUUCUGCUUCUGAGCUAGUGUCAAUAGUUGUGGGGAGUGAUGCUAGGUCAAAGGUUGUUAGUCUUGGCUGUUUUGUGUAUACGACCUCAAAUGGACAUUUGCCGGUUGAUCUAUUCUUCAUAUUGUUGAAGGCGAAUUCUGACUGUGCAAGAGCUAAGUCCCACUGUUUUGGUUUGGAUCCACUAAGACAGCAUAUUUGUCGACAGUUCUAUUUGUAACUUUGUUUGGCCAUCUGUUUGAGGGUGUGAUGUUGUGCUAUAUUUCAUUCAAGGUUGUGUCAAAUUUGCUCCAUAAUGUCUUCCAGAAAUGGCUUAGGAACUUGACAUCCCGAUUAGAAACAAUGGUCUUUGGUACUCCGUGCAGCCGAACUAUCUCUCGACAGAAUAAAUUAGCUAUGUAGGUGGCAUCAUUUGACUUCUUACAAGCCACAAAGUGUGCCAUUUUACUGAAUCUGUCGACUACAACCAUGACUCAGUCAUACUGCCUUUGAGUUUUUGGUAAUCAGAGCCCGAAAUCAAUUGAUAGAUCUUCUCAAAUGGAAAUUGGGGUAGGUAAUGGUGAGUACAGGCCUGCGUUUAUACUUGAACCUUUAGCUCUUUGGCAAAUAGGGCACCUUUUAAUAAAGUUGUUACAGUAUCUUCUUAAUUAAGGCCAGUAGUAUCUCUUAAAGAUUAUUUCAAAAGUUUUAUCCUGCCCGAAGUGUCCAGCCAAUCCUCCUGAAUGAGCCUCUUUUAGUAGUGCUUCUAGAAGUGAUGUGUGUGGGAUACACAACUGAUCUCCUUUGAAUAGAUAUCCUUCCAUUAUAUGGAAGUCUUCCGCCUUGGUGUAGUGGCUGCAUUUGGUCCAUGUCAUGGCGAAGUCAACGUCUUCCCCAUAUAGGUUAGGUAAGUGUUUGAAUGCCUCGAUCUCCAUGGAUAGAAUAGUGAGUAAGGAGCUCUUCCUGGAUAGUGCAUCUGCCACCUUGUUCUCCUUACCAUUUUGGUGCCUAAUGACAAAGUCGAACCUUUGUAGGAAGGAGAUCCAUCGUGCGUGCAUCCGAGUAAUAUUCUUUUGUGACUAGAGAUCUUUCAAAGAGAAGCGGUUCGUUAGGAGUACAAAUUCCCUGCAUAGGAGGUAAUGUUCCUACUGUUUGAGUGCUCGGACAAGGGCAUAAAGCUCUUGUUCGUAAGUGCUCCAGGACUGUCUUGUUGUGCUCAACUUCUUACUGAAGUAUUCAAUAGGGUGGCCUUGCUGUGAUAACUCGGCUCCAAUUCGGUUCCGCAAGCAUCAACAGCUACUUCAAAGGGUGAUGCGAAGUUCGACAACUGUAGAAUAGGGCUGGAAGUUAGUCUUCUUUUUAUCUCUUCAAAGCUCUGCUGUUGCUCUUCGUUCCACUUAUAGUUCCCUUUCUUUAGGCAGUCGGCCACUAUUGAGCUGAAGUUUCUGAUGAAUCUUCUGUAAAAGGAUGCCAAGCCAAGGAAGGCUUGUACCUCCUUGAUGGAGGUUGGUAUUGGCCAAGACUUUAUGGCUUCUGUCUUCUUUGGUUCCAUACCUACUUUUCCUUCUUUGAUUACGAAGCCGAGAAAGACAAUUUCCUUGGUGAGGAAUGUACGUUUCUUUGGAUUAAUGUACAGUUCAGUUUCGGCCAGGACUUGGAACAAUUUUCUUAAGUGCUGAAUGUGGUCUUCAGUACUAUUGUUGUACAAGAGGAUGUCAUCAAAGUAAACCACUAUGAACUGGUUUAGAAACGAGCACCUGGUUCAUCAACCUCAUGAAGGUGCUCGGUGCAUUGGAUAAGCCAAAGGCCAUCACCAACCAUUCAAAUAACACAUGGACCAUCAAGACGACUUUUUGUGAUGCUGAGUUUCAAGCCAGACGUGAGAAAGGGCUCUGCUUUUGUUGUGAGGAAAAAUUUUGUGCAGGCCAUAGAUGUAAGGUGAAGGAUCAGAAGGAACUCAGAGUGUUAGUUGUUCAAGCAAAUGGGGAGGAAUUGGAAGUAGUGGAAGAGGAUGAUCGUACAGAGGAACUUGAGGUAAAAGCUAUUGAACUUGAUAUAGAACAAAAAGAACCAGUGAUAGAAUUGUCAUUAACUUCAUGGAACACCGGAUUAAAUGCGAUAUCAAGUGCUGCUUGAUUAUCACACCACAAUUUUGCUGGUGUGGUGAUUUCAAAUCCCAACUCAACAAUAGUAAAAAAGUUGAUAUAUCCAAUUCACACAAAAACUGUGCAAUUGCUCUAUAUUUUUUAUUAUGCACUUGAAUGUGACACCACAUUUUGUUUCUUACUUUUCCAAGACAUCAAAUUGCCACCAACAAAAACAAAAUAUCCUGAAGUUGAUCUUUUGUCUUCUUUAGAUUUUACCAAUUAACAUCUGAGAAACAUUCAAUAUUAGUAUGACUAUAAUCCUUAUAUAAUAAAAUCAUGCCCGAGAGCAGCCUUCAGAUAACACUGAAUCAUUCCAAAGCAGCUGAAUGAUCAACUUUAGGGCAUGACAUACACUGGCUCAUAAUACUCACUAAAUAGGCUAUGUCGAGUCGAUUCGCUGGAAGGUAAUUAAGUUUUCCCUCUAACCUCCUAUAUCUUUGAAGAUCUUUCAACAAUUCUCCAUCUUUUGUGAGCUAUAAGUUAGGCAUCGUUGGGGUACUACAUGGCUUGGCACCUACCUUCCAUGUUUCAGUCAACAAGUCCAUAUUUUCUCUGUGAUAAUAGUAUUGCUUUCUUGCCUGUUUUUACCUCAAAUUCCUAGGAGGUAUUUCAACAUGCUCAAAUCUUUUAUUUGGAAUUGGCAAUAGAGAAAAGUCUUCAGGGACUGGACAUCUAAAGCAUCAUCACCAACAACCACAAUUGCAUCAACAUAUACUACGAUUAGGAUCACCCCACUCUCGGAUCUUUUAAAAAAGAUUGAAUGAUCUAACGUGCUCUUUUGCAUUCCAAAACUUUCGAUCACCUUAAUAAAUUUUCCAAACCAAGCCUGUGGACUAUGUUUUAGUCCAUCCAAAGAUUUACAAAGGCGACACGCCUUUCCAUUCUUCCCCUGAGCAACAAACCCUAGUGGUUGCUCCAUAUACACCCCUUCUUGAGGAUCACCAUGAAGAAAUGUGUAAGGACCCUAGAUAGAAAAAUAGUGGAUUAUUAGGAGAAAAUGAAAAUGGUUGUUAGUAAGGUCAUAUAGUAAAUAGAUGGUAAGUUGGUUAGUUCUUUUUGUUAUAAAUAGUGGGAGAGGGGUUGGAGAGAGGUGUGAAGAAUUUUGAGAAAGUUUUCCUUGUAAGGGAACCUUAGGAGAGUCUAACCCUCUCAAAAGGCUAGGGUUACUUGUUACUUGUUAUUAAGAUCUUCUAAUAUAUAUUUCAUGUUUGGAUGUAUUUUAAGUAUUCUUGAGUUCAUCUUUUCUCCUUGAGGUAAUCCUUGUUAGGUGGGAUCCUAACAAAUUGGUAUCAGAGCCGUAACAUCUUGGGGAUGACACGGGCUUGGAUGCAAAAACAAAUGGAGGAGAGGUUGGAGAAGAAUGAGAAGGACAUUAGGGAACUUAAAGAUGUAACUUUGGAGUUGUCCAAAAGCAUCGAAAGGCUGGCAGAGGAAUUACGAGAAAACAAUGUUAGUUGCGACGGGAAGAAUCUGCUACGUCGGAGGGAUCGGUGUUGAAAAUGAAAGGAAAGAUGGAAGAAGACUCGACCGCAGUUGAGAGAGGGACUUGGGAGCAAGCACUUAAAUGGGCUGCUAAUUGCAAACUUGAGGUGGAUGAGAGGGGAGAAACUCCAUGGACAUGGGAGCAUAUGCAGAAAUGGAUUGUGGAUUGCAAGGCAAAAAGAAUAGAGAGGAGUGCUAAAACAAUACAUCAAACGCUUUCUGAAGGGCUGCAAAGAGAUAAAGAAAGAGCGGAGAAGAAACUAGAAAAAAUUAAAGUUGAAGAAAAACAAAAAUGGAACAAUGACUUGAAGAUGAAGGAAUCGAAGAACGACCAUGAAAAAGAUGAAGGGAAGAGGAAGCCAAAUCUAACUGUGUAUUCCCAUGGCCGACGACUAAGGGUGGGGUGGUCAGAGACAAACACUUGGUGGAAAUGGAAACACCGAGCAGAGAAGGCGGAAGCAUGGGAAAGGAGGCAAACACUAUGGAUGAGAAGGAAGGCAAAGAAACGAUUGAGGAAGCGAUCAUUGAUACUUGGUGGUAGUGAAGAAAACAAAAAGAAGAAUCAAACAGUACCUAUGUGGAACAAGUCGACCUGGAUACGAUCUGUGAAAAUAGAAGAAACGGCUCAUUGGAGUGGCAACAUUGAGAGGCUGAUCAUAUAUAUAGGCCAAGAUUUUGUUGAGGUACGUUACUUUCCUUGCCUUUCUUUUGUGGCAUGCGAGUUAUAUCAAAGUAGGGAAGGGAUGAGGAAGCUAGGCAAUGAAGAAGAUGAAUAAAGGAAUUUCGAAGGUCAUCGGAGUAAGAUAGAAUGGGUAACGACAAGGAAGAAAAUGGCAAUGGAAUUAGUACAGGGAUCAUAGAGAGGCUGGCGAAUGGAAACAUAUUGGGUUGUGACAGAAAAUCGAGGCGGGGAUGAAAAUGUGUAAGGACCCUAGAUAGAAAAAUAGUGGAUUAUUAGGAGAAAAUGAAAAUGGUUGUUAGUAAGGUCAUAUAGUAAAUAGAUGGUAAGUUGGUUAGUUCUUUUUGUUAUAAAUAGUGGGAGAGGGGUUGGAGAGAGGUGAAGAAUUUUGAGAAAGUUUUCCUUGUAAGGGAACCUUAGGAGAGUCUAACCCUCUCAAAAGGCUAGGGUUACUUGUUACUUGUUACUAAGAUCUUCUAAUAUAUAUUUCAUGUUUGGAUGUUUUUUAAGUAUUCUUGAGUUCAUCUUUUCUUCUUGAGGUAAUCCUUAUUAGGUGGGAUCCUAACAAAAUGCACUUUUAAUAUCAAGCUGAUGUAAAAAAGUUGGAAACAAAUAUUGAACCUCUCCUCUCCUCUCACCCACCCUCUUCUCUCUUCAUUCCGGCCACACCUUCUCACGGUGACGUCGACGACAACGCCAAACCCGGGGAGUUACAACUCCAUCUUUUUCAGAAAUGGAAGUCAAAAGUUGAAAAAUGGUAGACACUUUCUACUGUAUCUAGUUCGAAAAGGGGAGGUUCAAUAUUGAAGAUGUAGACUUCCAAAAAAUCCUCACUUUAUCCAAGAUCCAAUUAGAGUGGUUCAUUGAUUCAAUAGAUGUUCUUGUAAAAGAACCAAACUGGAAGUUUUUCAACAAAUAUGCGAGUGAUGAAACCGAAACAACAAAGCUAUCCAAAUUCUGAACCCCAUCUGAUUGGUUUCUGAGGUGUGUUGCUCGAAACUUCUCUGGAAUACAAUCCUUCAUCCAUCUACUCAUGAGAAACCAGACAAGGUUGGGUCUCCUUCCUCAACAUGAUCAGGUCCUUUUUAUUGACUCAUAAUUACACCUCCUUUUAAAAAAUAUCAAGCUGAUGUAAAGGCCAGUGACUGAUUGAAGUUAGUGAAAUAAACAACCUCACAAAUGUCAUUUUUACUACUCGAGAAAAAGUAUCAGCAUAGUUAACGCCAUGUUUGUGCGUAGCCUUUCACUACAAGGUGUACUUUUAAUUGAGCGACAAAACCAUCAGGAUUAACUUUAAUUGUAACCACCCAUUUGCAACUGAUAUACUUUUUUCGUGCAGGGAGAGAAACUAAAUCCCAAGUACAAUUAUCAUCUAAAGUAAUCAUCUCCUCCACCAUUGCAACACACCAACCAAGAUGAGAAUAGGCUUAAUGAUACAAACUCUAAUGAUGCAAUGAAAGAACAUGCAGAAGACAACUAAUGGUUAUAUGAAACAGAAGAGGAAAUAAGAUGAGCACACUUAAGUUUACCUUUACGAAGAGCAAUAGGAAGAUCAUCACUCAUUUCUGGAUCCAAUGACGAAGAAGCCUUAGGGGUAGGGCAUGGAAUUGAAGAAGGUUAUCGUCGAUCAUAGACUUCAGUGAUGGGUUGACAAAUAGAAGUAAACACACGUGAAGAUGAACCACAAAGAGGAUUAGAAGGAGAGAUAACAUUGUAGAUAAAGAAAUCAUCCUUUGACUCUUGAUACUCCCUCGACUCAUAUUCGAAGAGAAAGAAGGUGAGGAAUAAAAGGAGGAAUGUUCAAAGAACACGAGAAUAACCAAAAAGAUAUAUUUUAAGGUCUUUGGAUCCAACUUUGUAUGUUGAGGCCGAACGUCUUGGACAAAUCAAGUAUAACCAAUUAUUUUGGGUGGAAUGAGAAACAAAUGUUGUUUGGGGCAUAAGAUACAAAAAGGUAUCUCACCCUUAAAAAUGGAAGAGGGCAUGCAAUUUGUUAAGAAACGGGCUAUGGAAACAUCAGCCCAAAAAGAAAUUGGAAAAUUCAUUUGAAACAUUAGGACUAGUGGUUUAAAAAGGAUGACGAUUCUUUCAUUUUGCAAACCCACUGACUUCAUGAAAUUAAUAAAUAGAAGUGUGAAAGUAACAUAGACAUGAAUAUAUAAGCUAGAGCAAAGGCAUGACUACUAUACCUGACUACCAUUACAUAGCGCUAAAAGAAAUUGUAAUUUUCUUUUUCAUUCAAUAUGUAAUUUGACGUAAUAGUAAUAGUAAUUCCUCUUUCAAACAACCAUUUUUUUUUUCAACAAAGAGGACAAGGCUUAUGAUCCCUAAAUCGUUAGCAAUUAAGAUGCAGCAAAUAAGGUAGCUAAGAUGCAGAAAAUAAGAAAACACCCCAAAUCACUACAGUGCAUAAGAAAUCUAUCACAUAAGCACAAAGAUAAAUACUGAGAGUAUUAGUUGAAACUUAGCAAACACAAACAGAGGUCACCGAGGUAACCACCGAGGUAUUCCUAUUCCCUGAACUCCAAGGUCACCGAGGCCAAGAAUACGACUUCCAUCUGUCAAGACAAUCAUGUCAACCUGUAGUUGGAAGAAGAAAAUACAAUGAACUUCAAAUAUGGUGUUGCUGGAAAUUAAAAGAGAUUUUCAUUUUUAUUUUGCUCAAAAUCAAUGCUCUUGAGCUUUUAAUGUCUCGAGGAAUGUGAAAGUUUCCCAAUAUAUCGUGUAUGGAAGUUUAAACUUUUCAAAGAAAACAAGGGUGAUCAACAUACAAAAGCCUCCUGUGGAUAGAAAAUUAAUCAAACAAAAAUUCGAUUGUUCUGUAGCAGUUUGACUUUGUUGUUAAGGAAAUUAAGAGUGAUAAGAAGGCGGGGAGUGACUUUGAGUGGUGGCCAUUCGACAGCCAAGCAACUACACUCAAAGUUGAAGGUCGAAUAGGCAGCAGGAAGAAACGAAGAAGAAGAAGAAGAAAAGUUUUCGAUCUAUCAAACAUGAUCAUCAUACAAUAGACGAAAGUCAUUUAAAUUAUCCAAAUAUCUUUUGAAGUAAUUUUAACAUUUUCAAAAUAACUCUUAAUCAUGCUCUAAAUAUGGAAUGAAUUGUCUAUCCAACUACAAAUACAAAAGUUUUUCUAAAUCACUCUAACUAAUUAUACAAAUUCCACAACACAUAGAUCACAUGCUUCCCAAGAACCCAUAAAAUUGUUCAAUGCGGCAUUUCAUCAAACAGUUGGUGGAUGGAGACAACAAAAACAAGUGUUUAACAAAAUUAUCUUAGAAACAAACACAUUAAUAUUACCUGAAGAUGGAACUCCAAUUGAACAGCCUUGAAAAAGUGAUGGAGAAACAAACAGAACAUAAAGAUUGUGGGACUCCUCAACUCCAAUAAAUCCUGCAAUGGAAAAAUGGGUUAGAAGGUGGAAAAGCAUAGUAGAGGAUUAUGAUAAUGAAAAUGGGUAGUAAUGUUUUUCAGUAGCUAUCUUUUUCUUCUCUUUUUUUUUUUCAUGUUGUUGAUGGUUGUUCUUGAUUGUCUUUAUUUAUUUUUUUUUUCCUUUUUUGCAUUUGGGAAAAAACAGUUUGUUGACUAAGAGGUGAUGAUGCUGGUGAGGGAAUUUAUUAAAGUAAUGAAUACUUUUUGGAGGACUUAAACAAGUAAAAGGACGAAAUGAAGCAAGCUCAAGCAACAAAUUUUCUGUUAAGUAAGCAUAAAUAUUAACUAGAGGCUUAAAUAAAAUAUUUCACCACCACCACCACAACAACAAAAAGCCCAGAUAUAUCGUCAUUGACACAGAAACAGAGCAAUAUAAGCAAAAUACAUUACAAGGAAAAUAUGGAGAUAAAAGACAUGAAGGUUUCCCUUUCACUUACAAAGAGGAUCAUUAAGUAACUUCUCGUUGUUAGAACCAAUAUCUAGCAUUACUCGAAGAAUCUGUCAAUUAAACAAGAGUAAACUUAAUGAAAAAGUGUGGUUAAGAAAAGUUGCUAAAAAAUGUCACCAUUAAAUGAUAUUAGUAUUCUUAGAUAAUCUACAAAUUUCAUGAAGAAAAGGCAGACUUGAGAGUUACCCCCACUAUCAGGAAUACUUGCUGAAACGGGAAAAAGAUAUCGGCAAAUUCUAAAUACGGCACACUAAAACUCUCACUCUCCUGGUUCUUGCUUAAAAUCACAUGUACAUGUCAAUGCUGAUAGUGCCUCUUCCACUGAAACAAACAAAAUUUCAGUACCAAUUAAGAUGCAAAAAAAUAAGGUAUUUAUGAUGCAGAAAAUAAGGAAACACCCCACAUCACUACAGUGCAUAACAAAUCUAUCACAUAAGCACAAAGAUAAAUACUGAGAGUAUUAGUUGAAACUUAGCAAACACAAAAAGGACAUAAGCUUAUUCUCAAAUUUCAGUACAUAUACUCAUCAAAAUUCAGAAUCUCACGUCACAAACCCGAGCUUAGUGCUCAAGGGUUGACAGUCAUGCCUUUUAUGCAAGAUCUAAGAAGCUAUGAUGCUCAUUAUUGUAAUGAAAAACUUUUGAAAAAUUUUGAAAUUUGGACAAAAUUUGAAAUCCCCAAGGUUAGACUAAACAAGUGAGUUAUUAUCCACCCUUCACUUAAAACAUUGCUUGGAAGUAGCCCAACAUGAGAAGAUAAAACAAUCUGAAUGGGAUUUUUCUGAUGUAUAAUGCAUAUGUUGUUUGUUUUUUUUAGCUCUUAAUUGUCUCGUUUUUUUACGUUUUACAUUUGCAACUAUCUCUUUUGUUUCUUUGGUACGCACACAAGAACCGGUGGGUAACCUUUCUAUGGUUCUAGACUUAGUUUCUAAGUUUGACUGCUCCCUUCGGAGUGACAACAAGCCUCGUUUUCCCCCUACUAUGGAACGGGGAGGAUUCCUCCUCUUUUCAAAGCCCUCGUCAAACUCAAUGCUAAGUUUGACUGCUCCCUUCGGAGUGACAACAAGCCUCGUUUUCCCCCUAGUGUGGAACGGGGAGGAUUCCUCCUCUUUUCAAAGCCCUCAUCAAACUCGAUGCUAUGUCUAGAACGCUAAGAGUAGGUGGUCUGGUUUUGGUUAGGCCAUAAGUGAAGUUUCCCCUCAUUUUUUAUGGGAUUUUUCUGAUGUAUAUUGCAUAUGUUGUUUGUUUUUUUAAGCUCUUAAUUGUGUCACUGUUUUACGUUUUACAUUUGCAACUAUCUCUUUUGUUUCUUUGGUACGCACACAAGAACCGGUGGGGUAACCUUUCUAUGGUUCUAGACUUAGUUUCUAAGUUUGACUGCUCCCUUCGGAGUGACAACAAGCCUCGUUUUCCCCCUACUAUGGAACGGGAGGAUUCCUCCUCUUUUCAAAGCCCUCGUCAAACUCAAUGCUAAGUUUGACUGCUCCCUUCGGAGUGACAACAAGCCUCGUUUUCCCCUAGUGUGGAACGGGGAGGAUUCCUCCUCUUUUCAGAGCCCUCAUCAAACUCGAUGCUAUGUCUAGAACGCUAAGAGUAGGUGGUCUGGUUUUGGUUAGGCCAUAAGUGAAGUUUCCCCUCAUUUUUUAUGGGAUUUUUCUGAUGUAUAUUGCAUAUGUUGUUUGUUUUUUUUAGCUCUUAAUUGUCUCGCUGUUUUACGUUUUAAUUUGCAACUAUCUCUUUUGUUUCUUUGGUACGCACACAAGAACCGGUGGGGUAACCUUUCUAUGGUUCUAGACUUAGUUUCUAAGUUUGACUGCUCCCUUCGAGUGACAACAAGCCUCGUUUUCCCCCUACUAUGGAACGGGGAGGAUUCCUCCUCUUUUCAAAGCCCUCGUCAAACUCAAUGCUAAGUUUGACUGCUCCCUUCGGAGUGACAACAAGCCUCGUUUUCCCCCUAGUGUGGAACGGGGAGGAUUCCUCCUCUUUUCAGAGCCCUCAUCAAACUCGAUGAUGCUAUGUGUCUAGAACGCUAAGAGUAGGUGGUCUGGUUUUGGUUUAGGCCAUAAGUGAAGUUUCCCCUCAUUUUUUAUGGGAUUUUUCUGAUGUAUAUUGCAUAUGUUGUUUGUUUUUAGCUCUUAAUUGUCUCGGUUGUUACGUUUUACAUUUGCAACUAUCUCUUUUUUUUCUUUGGUACGCACACACAAGAACCGGUGGGGUAACCUUUCUUUCUAUGGUUCUAGACUUAGUUUCUAAGUUUGACUGCUCCCGUUCGAGUGAGUGACAACAAGCCUCUUUUCCCCCUACUAUGGAACGGGGAGGAUUCCUCCUCUUUUCAAAGCCCUCGUCAAACUCAAUGCUAAGUUUGACUGCUCCCUUCGAGUGACAACAAGCCUCGUUUUCCCCCUAUUGUGGAACGGGGAGGAUUCCUCCUCUUUUCAAAGCCCUCAUCAAACUCGAUGCUAUGUCUAGAACGCUAAGAGUAGGUGGUCUGGUUUUGGUUAGGCCAUAAGUGAAGUUUCCCCUCAUUUUUAUAUGGGAUUUUUUCUGAUGUAUAUUGCAUAUGUUGUUUGUUUUUUUUAGCUCUUAAUUGUCUCGCUGUUUUACGUUUUACAUUUGCAACUAUCUCUUUUGUUUCUUUGGUACGCACACAAGAACCGGUGGGUAACCUUUCUAUGGUUCUAGACUUAGUUUCUAAGUUUGACUGCUCCCUUCGGAGUGACAACAAGCCUCGUUUUCCCCCUACUAUGGAACGGGGAGGAUUCCUCCUCUUUUCAAAGCCCUCGUCAAACUCAAUGCUAAGUUUGACUGCUCCCUUCGGAGUGACAACAAGCCUCGUUUUCCCCCUAGUGUGGAACGGGGAGGAUUCCUCCUCUUUUCAAAGCCCUCAUCAAACUCGAUGCUAUGUCUAGAACGCUAAGAGUAGGUGGUCUGGUUUUGGUUAGGCCAUAAGUGAAGUUUCCCUCAUUUUUUAUGGGAUUUUUCUGAUGUAUAUUGCAUAUGUUGUUUGUUUUUUUAGCUCUUAAUUGUGUCACUGUUUACGUUUGCAAGUCUCUCUAUUCUUUCUUUUAUAUGCAAUGUGGUAACUAGGUCUUGCUAGAACCGGUGGGCUAACCUUUCUAUGGUUCUACACUUAGUUUCUAAGUUUGACUACUCCUUCGAAGUGGCAACAAGUUUUGUUAAUGUCCACCCUUUUCUAAAGGGAUUCAGUUCAUUGUGGCUAGACAAACGGCUCCUAACUCAUGUUAUUUAUUAAAACCAUCUCAAUUUCUAAAGAGUACCUCCUAUCCUUUUUUAACUCUAUCUAGGCUAGGUUUGGACUAAGCGCAUCAUAGGUAAGUCACGGCAAAGCAACAAAGGAAGACAAAGCUAGAAAAGUAUCCAUGCACUUAUUUAUUAUAUACAUGCAAUCAAGCAUUCACAACACACAUACCAUUUUCUCAAUCAAGCAUUCACAUCUCAACAAGAUAUCGCUAACAUCUCAAUAAGAUAUCGCUAAAAAGGGACGUAAACCAAAAAAGACGGCAGCUUAUUCUCAAAUUUCAGCACAUAUAAUCAUCAACAUUCAGAAUUUUACAUCACAAACCCAAGCUCAGUGGUCAAGGGUUGCCGGUCAUGCUUUUUAUGCAAGAUCUAAGUAAGCUAAUAAGGUAUAAUGCUCCUUAUUGUAAGGAAAUUUUUUUUAGAAAUUUUGAAAUUUGGGCAAAACAUUUGAACCCCCAAGUUUAGACUAAACAUGUAAGCUAUUGCCCACCCCCACUUAAAAAAUUGCAAGCUUUUGAAAAUAAAUAUAAAGGGAGAAGAAUAAGGGGGAACUUUGGACUCCCCUGGAAGGAUCGACAUCCUUGACUUUGGUUUGAAGCUUGCAUGGAUAAACCUCUUCAUUUCUUUUUCAUUGAUUAAUUAUCCUUGUUCCUGAAAAUCAAAGGAAAUUCUCUCAAUUUCAUUUAUUACUAAAAUUAGGAUAAUUAUAGUAACUGUAUUUUUAACUCUUUUGGUAGUUUAUGUCUUGAGUGUGUUUUCAAUGGUAUUUCUAUAUAAAGUACAAAGUUUAGGGGUAUUCUGUAUAAUGGAACCUCUUUAACAAAAAAAUAAAUAAAUUCAAACCCAUGAAGUCUAACUAACCGAACACAAUUAGAUUUCUAGUAGCAGUAAUUUACCACAGAAACAGAAAUCAAAGGUUAGAAAAUAAUUUAAUGGCAUUUCUAUAAAUUUAUCACAUGAUCUUUCUUCUUUUUUUUCUUUCCUUUUUUGAUAGAACUCUAACCAUGUAGUUAAGCUUCUACUUGUAGCAGUUAAUUAAAAUAGAGACAGAAACUAUAGAUUAACAAACAAUUGGAAGGCCUCUCGAUCAAUUUAAUGCACAAUAAGUUCAUAAUUGUGUGUUUUUGGAAGUAUGAAAAACGAAAAAUCGCUAUUUUCGCUAAAGGAGAAACCUCUUCAUUCCUCUUUCGUUGAUUAUUCAUCCUUGUUCUUCAAACCUCAAGCCUUAAAAUUGAGGAAGUAGAGGAAAUUCUCUCAAUUUACUUUAAAGGAAGGAUCAUGUUCUCUCCUACAAAGGGUGUCUUUCUAAUUUUCUUAACUUUAUGACUUAAUACGGUACUGUUGUAUAAUGCAAAUCCAUAUAGAAGAAACACCAUUUAUAGCACAGCCAAGGAAAAUGAAGAUUCAAUAUAAUGUACUGCAAUAAAAUUAAAAUACUAAAGAAUGUGCUAGGAUGUUAGCGUAAGCAAAAAGUAAAAUCAAUGGCAAAAGAAGGGAAAAAUUGAAGGGCAUCAACAAAAAAUGUAACCUUUAAGUUGCUAUUUCCUUAUCUUGUUCCCGCAGAAGAUCAUCCUUGGCCCAAGCCUGUGAAGAAAUUAUAGAAUAAAAGGGUUAGUGAAGAAAAAAGCAGAUCAUUACAAAACAUUCUUAUGUAAGCACAUCAAGCAUGAGGGGGGAAAAAAAAAACACUGCGUCGUUGUCUAAUUUAAUUGAUUGCAAUUCCCUAUCUUUAUCUUCUAUUUCCCUUUCCAGUUUGCGAAUAGCCUGGUCUCUUUCACAUAGCCUGUUCCUGUACAGCCACAAAAUAUCUCAUUGAAGUAUUAAAGUAGUCCGCAUCUAAAUAGUGAUUUGCCUAACUCUUCAAAAAAAAUAUUAAGAUUUGAGUUUUGGCAAUAUGAACUAGGAUCUCCUUUACAACUGUGCUCUAAAGAUAUUGAAGACAAUUUAUAGAAUAAAUCAAUCUUAUUAAUGAUAAUAAUAGAACCAGUAAUGAGAUUUUAAAGCAUAUUUCUUUGCACCUCCUUCUUUAUCUUCAUUUAACUCAGUUAUUGUUACUUUGGACGUACUCAUUGUUUCUUUCCCAUGAAAUGUAAUGUCUUGUUUUCAAAUGUGUAGGAUUCUUUUUCGUAUUUCAUUAAACUGUAUAUUCUGUUCUCAGGGCCACAUCGUCUUGAACAGACCGUGGGCAUUUGUGCAGUGGCUGGAAAAGGCUACAAUAGAGGGAGAGUGAGAAUUUUAUGUAAAAUCAUUGAAGUGUAGAACUCUUAAUAAAUAUUGCUAUUUGAAUUCUUAAGUAUCUAAUUCUUUUUGUUUUCUUUUGUUGUAGAUAUAUACUGAUGGCAUAACCAUAUCAUAUAUUUUUUAAUCCGCUUCCUAAUUUAUCUGAUGGAGGUUAUCCACAGCUGCCUUUCCAUAUUUCUACAUCAAACCAGAUCAAAAUCAUAAAAUUCUGAGAAAGUUUUUCCCUAAGGAAUAUGGCCCCAUAAAUAAUAUCGAUCCAAUUGGCAACUCCCUCAUCAAAAUCGAUGCUAUGUCUAGAACGCUAAGAGUAGGUGGUCUGGUUUUGGUUAGGCCAAAAGUGAAGUUCCCCCUUUUUUUUUUUUAUGACAAAUCUUUAAUUAUCGAAAUUCAAAUAAAGAAUAGGUUUGCUUUCAAGUAAUCCUCUGAUCAGGUUUACCUCAUUAAAGAAUUCAUCUGCAUCUGCCCACUGUCCGCUAACUUCAUCGACACAUAACCUUUUGUAUUAUAUUAUCCCCUUCAUCUCCGUCCUUGGAUGGCGGCAGCAAGCGCACUACCACCUGAAAAUCACAGAAAGUUCACACUAGGCAAAACUUCCAAACUUGAAUCUUAAACUAAAACUGUCACUACACCACCGAAAUUAAGACAAAUAAUCCAAAACCCCAUAAUCAUACACAACACGUAAAAUACCUUCAUACCCGAAUCAGACAAUCCAGAGAUGGAAUUCUCAGGAACGGUCUUCAUACCUUCCGCUUAAGUGGGUUAGAAGAGGGAGACCUAGGUGGAAGCGGGCUCUUCAACUUAGCCGGCGAGGGUUUGGAAUCAAGAACCAUGGAGUCGGGAUCUGACGGUGACGGUGGAACAAAAGGACUUUGGAAGACGAAUUGGGUUUUCGAGGGGUCUGCCGCUCUUGAUUCUGGCGCCAUUAGGGCUAGGAGAAGAUGAUGGUGUGGAUCGGCAAGAUGGGUUACUCACAGAGAGCGAAAGAGAAGGGGAGAGGGGAGAGGAAGUAGAGAGAGUUACCGUUGGAAGAAGGAUGGGGAAGAAAUUUGACGGGAGAGAGGGUUUUGUAUAAAAGGCAAUAAUAAUAAUCCAUAUUCUUUUUAAUAUUACUUAUGAAUGAAAAUAAUUAAAAGUUUAAAUAAUCCAUAAACAUAUACUUCUUAUCGGUUAUUAGAAUUAAAAAAAAAAAGUCAACAAAUAAAAUUUAUAAAAUUAUCAUACAUCAAGAACAAAAAAAAUACAUUUGUGAAAUAAAAAAAAAUGUAUAAAAGAUAAAAAAAUGAAUCACCUUAAUUUUAAUAAUAUUUUAUAUCUUAUCUCGAAAGAUAUAAAAAAUAUUAAAAUGUAUCUAUCUCGAAAUAGGUUUUCAACUACGUCCCAAGUGGAAUAAAAAAUUGUUACCAAACUCUUAAAUAUAGAAUUUCAUAAUCUCUCCAUAAUUUGUAUGUUAGUAUGAGUUUGUAGGGUGUGUUUGUCCCAUGAAGUUAGAAGUAGUGUAUAAAAGUUGAAGUUGUAAAAUCCAGUUCUUGUUUGACUUAAAUAGUUGGCGGAUCAUUAUUAGAAAUUUAAUUCUAAGCACUCUACUUGUCCAACAUUACAAUUUAUUCAAUUAGAUAGUUAAAAAAAAUGACGUCACAAGGUUCUUUAUUAAUGUCCCUACAAUUCCUUCUUCCAUCUAAUGCUACAAAUAUGAACAAUCAGCAUUCACGAAAGGACAAAAAUUGAACUACAUACAGUACAACAAGAAAACAGAUAAAGUCAAAGCCAAAGUACAUUGUAUUGAUGCCAAACUUGUUUACGAAGCUCAUGAAAUAGAAGUUGAUGCAGACCAUUGGUUGUUUCACACCAACUACUUUUCUAUAGAAAAAUAGCUUACCCAUAAAUUAAGAGACAAUAACCGAGGAGAGCAUAGAAGUUGGAAGGUAUUUACAUUGUUGUUGAUGCAAAGAGAUAGUAAGCAGAGGUUGUUAGAGGAUGUGGAACUUAAGAUCUACAGUAUGGUGGAUAAAUUAUUUGGGUCAACAGUAAUAUUUCAGAGUUUGGAAUGGUGAAAAGAGUUUAUAUACUGUGAUAUUCCAUUCAAUGCACUUACCAUAAAAACGAGGUAGAAGAAAGAAGAAGAAAGACUAACCUUGAAUCAUUAGCUUCAAGUGUCUAACAGUAGCAGAGGAUGGGCUGGUAGACGACGAACCCUAAGCAAAACCAAUGUGGACGACGGUGAGAGAUCAGCAUGUUGUUGUGAAACAAUCGUGAGAGGCAGGGUAUCGCAGUCGUCGUGUUGGGUUUCAACGUGGCUUUCGUAGUCGUGCUAGAGCGCACUAGAGAGCAAAAUGAAUUAGAUUGAAAGAGGCCGAAAAUGGGGGAAAAUAUUUAGAGGGAACUUAAAUAUUUAUUUCCCGCUUUUUCUUUGUUGUUCUUUUCCACAUCCCAUUUAAAAUAAUGGGCUAUUAAAAGUUCAUUUUGGUGUAGUGCUAUUUGUGUCUCGAUCGUCCAUUUUCGUUCAAACUACUUUAAAGAUACAAGUAUGAUAACCAACAACACGAUCGAAAGAAUUGGUCUAUGCAACUUCAACCUACGUGGCUUUAUCAGGUUCACACACACAAUGAGUGACUUCCUUCGUUUGGAUCCAUUUCGAAAAUUAUACUCUAUGGCCCAAAAUGAAAGGCCCAUCGUCUAUUUACUCAAAUCCUAGCAAUAAUUUAUUCUCACUUAAAAUUUUAAACGUAUAUGGAAAGUCCACAAUGCUCGACCCAAAAUUAACUUAUAAAAAUACCAAACCAUAGUCUUGCCUAUUUGGUAGUUAAUUUGAGUCUCAAAGCCCGACCCCAAUUACAAGAACACUCUCUCAUGAGAGACCCCAUUAUAAGAACACAUUCUCAAAGUUUUUAACCACUCACAUUUUUUAUCCACUCUCCAACUAGAUAAUACAGAAGGAAUUUAAUUAGAGUAAUCACACUAAAACUUAAAAUGUUUAUAAGUGAGAAUUUCUAAAUAAAUGAAAUAGGUUUCUUUUAUAGUCUUUGAGUCAAACUUUUCUAUAAAAAAAAUGGAUGUGAGAUAACCACAUCUUGCCAAACCCAAUACUUAAAAACAAACAAAUCAAAUCAUUAUUUUUACAAAAAAAAAAAAAAAAAAAAAAAAUGCAAGUCGAUUCCUAUUUAUUAAAAUAAUAAAGAAAACCAGUUACCAAAAUAUGAAAUUUGUUUUUAAAAAAUCUACAUCUAAAGAUCUACCAUAUUCAUAAAUUAAUAAUUCUUGUGUGAUUUCACAUUGAGAUCAUAAAUAACUUAAAAUUACCAUGUCGAAGGAAAUUUUUUUGACAAGAGCCUAACUUAUAAAGGAAUGAUGGAAAAUAAUAUGGUGCAACCUUCAAAACAACAUAAAUAAGAAAAUAUUGCAACAUAGUUAGCAAAUAAGAGAGAAAGAGAAUGUAACCUGAAAAGGAAGUUUAUGAUUAAUUUCAUAAUUGUUGUGGUUUUGUCCAUGAUCUCUUUAAUAUUUUCUAUUAUCUUCAUUGCACUCCUAGUAAUUGAUACCCUUAGGCAACCACGGCUCAACAUCCUUCUUACAAAAAAAAUAGGCAAAAGACGAGGGGGCUUGUAGAGGUUAAUAAAAAAAAGGGGCAGAAUAGUAAAGGAUAAUGAAAACACAAAGAAAUGUAAUUACAGGGCGAACUUUUUGUGGGAGAAAUGGUAGAAUAAUUUGUAGAAAUUUGAUCGUCUUUUUUAUGUGAAGAAGACAAGAAGAACAAAGGAUAACAUAAAAGCAAAUUAGAAAUUCGUGGAGUUAUUACGGGAAAAACUAGCUCUGAGAGAAAGCUUGAAGAGAGAAAAUAAAUGAAAGGUACUCUGAUUUUGUGGACAAUGGCAAUCCACAACUCUCUUGUACAUUAUUUAAAAUAGAAAAUAGAAACUAGAACAUGAACCCCAUUGAUAAAUAAACCGUAGCCUAACAAAAACCGUAAACCCCGAAUCCCUAACCCCUAAACCCCUUUGCUAUAGUAAAUGGUAUUUAAAAAUCUCAAAUUAACUAUCUUAAACACUAUUUCAAAUCCUCAAUUUCCUAUAAUAUUUAUUAUUUACUACGAUAUUUGUUAAAUUAUUUUUUUGUGAAGUUACAAAACUAUACUUGUUGAAAUACUUUGAAAAUUAUUCAAAAGAGAUGGAAAAAAAAAAGAUGCAGUGGAAAAUACAUCCACGUAUAUUUUCACAAUUUCAAAAUUAAUUUGACUAAAUACAAUUUAAUUUAGUCAAACCCUAAACCCUAGACCCGUAAACCCCUAAACAAACUCUUUUGUGAAUGAUAUCUUUGCGCCUAUAGCUCCUUUGACCGGAGUUAUCCCCUUUCCUCUCAUACUCUACUAGACUCUAUAAACUCCUAAUACUAGGAUUUUCAUAAUUCGAGAUCCGAACAAGGAGUUAGCUAUUUUAGUCAACUCCCUUCCUUGCAAAUCUGGACCCAAACACCCCAACAUGGUAACAAACGACUAUAAAAAAAAGAAAGUAAUAUCCACAAAAAUAGACAUGGUCCAAAUUCGAAAAAUACCUGUUUCUUGGUGAUGGAAUGGAGGGUUUGAGAGUGAUUGUGGUGUCCCCAUAGUUAGCAACCAUAUUGGUGGAGAUCAAGUAUUUGGUGUAAGUUAACAGAAGGUAUGAAGUAGAUGUUACAUAUUGCAUAUUACUGUCGCUCAUUCUGAACAGCAACCCUCCUUCACAAAACGGUAGGGGGGAAGGGGUUAAACUUCAUUUUCUUUUUACCAUUUUACCGAUAAUAAAAAUAAAAAAGUAGUCGUUGAUCAUCAAAAUAAAAAAAGACAUGGAGUGUAUUUGGGGCAGGAGAAUGAUUCUCCGAGAAUGAUAAAGCAAAUGGCGCUGUUGUUGGGGGUUCUUGGCACGGUGUAGGAACUUUAGUUGAACCUUGCUGAAAUUUUUGUUAGUUAAACAAUUGAAAGCAUAUUUUUAUUUUUACAAUAAUAGCAGCCAUACACACAUAUAUAAUAAAAGUUUUACAUAUUCUUAUCUCUUGAAUUUAUCUUUUCUUAAAUAGUACCAUAUAGAAGAGAAAAUAUAAAAAGAUCGCAUGCUCCCUUUUCCUCUUCUUGCUUAUAGUUUUGCACGAUCUUUACUCUCUCCUUGGUUUUUGAUGCAUGUCUUCUGCUCUAAAUAACAUAGAAAAUUUUGAAGACAUGAUAUGAUUAAAUAAAGAAGAUUAAGAAGAAAGAAAGAAACUUAAAAGAUAAAUUAGUUUAGGGCAAAACAAUCUUCAAGAAGAUCCACCCUUAGAAACACAUACCUGAAACCGAAACUUGAAACAGAACCUUGAAACCUUGAACCCCAACAAACGAACCACAAAACCCCCAAACCUUCAAACCCCAAAACUCCUAAACCCAAAACUUGAAACUCCAAACGCUCCAUCCCGAUGCUCGAAAUCACGAACCUCGAACCGAUCCAUGCACCCUAAACCCCGAAACCUGAAACCCUAAAAUCCAAACCCCCAAACCCCAAAACUUCUAAACCCAAAACCUCGAAACCUCAAACUUCAAACCUCAAACGCUCCACCCCGGAGCCUGAAAUCACAAACCCCAAAUCGAUCCAUACAUCUUAAACCCCGAAACCUAAAACACGAAACCCUAAAUCCCUAAAAACCGUAAACCGUAAACAAUAAACCCUAAACUUUAGCCCCUAAACCAUAAACCCUAAAGUACCCCAAAACCACAAACCUCGAAAGCUCGAAAGCUCGAAAAGUCUAAACCUUGAAACCUAAAACCCCUAACCUCCAAACCCCCAACCCCCAAACCCAAAAACCUCGAAACCUGAAACUUGAAAACCGAAACGCUCUACCCUGAGACCUGAAAUCAAGAACUCCAAACUGAUCCAUACACCCUAAACCCUGAAAACCCCUAAAAAAAAACCGUAAACCAUAAAUCCUAAAUUUUAACCCUUAAACCAUAAACCCUAAAGUAACCAAAGUACCGUAAACCACGAACCCCGAACCCCAAACCACGAACCCUGAACCCCAAACCCCAAUCCCCAAUCUCGAAACUCGAACCCUAAAAUCCUAAACACUAAACCCUAAAGUACCUUUAACCUCAAACCCCAAACCCCGAACCUUGAACGUCGAACCUCCAACCUUGAACCCUGAAACGAAACCUAAAACCCAAAAACUACAAACCUCGAAACCCAACCCACAAACCUUCCAACCCCCAAACCUCCAAGCCCCAAACCCCCAAACCCUGAAAAUCGAUAUCUAAAACCUGUAAUCCUAACUUCAAACUUUGUUGGUGGAGAUAACAAUUUCUAUUAUUUAGGGAGUAUCUAUGCAUUUUGCAUUAUGGAUUGGUUAGAAAUUUUUAGUUUCUUAUUAUGAUUCGAAUUACAUGCAUUUUGGGUAUCAAACUUUGAUUAAUAUUGGUCAUCGUCUCAGAAUCUAAUAACACACAACCCUAUAACUCUAACCUAAACCCUAAACCCUGAAACCCCAAACGCUCCACCCUGAAUCCCAAAAUCACGAACACUGAACCAAUCCAUGCACCUUAAACCUCGAAACCUAAAACCCUAAACCCUAAACCCUAAAAACCUAAACCGUAAACCAUAAAUCCUAAACUUUUAACCCCUAAACCGUAAAACCUAAAGUACCCGAACCCGAAACCCGAACCCAAAAUCCUAAAUAAUAAACCCUAAAGUACCCCAAACCCCGAACCUUGAACCCAGAACGUGAAACCUAUAAUCCCAAAACCACAAACUUCGAAACCUCGAAAAGUCUAAACCUUGAAACCCAAAACCUCUAUACCCAAACCCAAAACCUUCCAACCCUCAACACCCAAACCUCCAAACCCCAAAACCUCAAAACCUCGAAAAGUCUAAACCUCGAAACCCAACCCCAACCUCUCAAACCUUCCAACCCUUAACCCCUAAACCUUCCAACACCCAAACCUCCAAACUCCCAACCACAAAACCCCUAAACGCCAAAACUCAAAAUCUGAAACCUGAAAUCCUAACUUCAAACUUUGUUGGUGGAGAUAACAAUUUCUAUUAUUUAGGGAAUAUCUAUGUAUUUUGUAUUAUGGAUUGGUUUGAAAUUUUAAGUUUCUUAUUAUGAUUCGAAUUACAUGCAUUUUGGGUAUCAAACUUUAAUUAAUAUUGGUCAUCGUCUCGAAAUCUAAUAACACACAGCCUUAAAACUCUACCCUCAACCCUAAACCCUGAAACCCCAAACGCACCACCCCAAAGCCCAAAAUCACGAACCUCGAACCAGUUCAUGCACCCUAAACCCAAAAAUUGAAACCGUAAAUCCCAAAUCCUCUAAACCCCUAAACUCCUAAACCUCAAAACUCGAAAUCCGAAAUCCGAAACCUGUAAUCCUAACUUCAAACUUUGUUGGUGGAGAUAAAAAUUUCUAUUAUUUAGGGAAUAUUCAUGGAUUAGUUUGAAAUAUUGAGUUUUUUAUUAUGAUUCGAAUUACAUGCAUUUUGGGUAUCAAACUUUGUUUAAUAUUGGUCAUCGUCUCAGAAUCUAAUAACACCCAGCCCUAUAAUCUAACCUAAACCCAAACACUCCACCCCGAAUCUCGAAAUCACGAACCCCGAACCGAUCCAUGCACCCUAAACCAGAAAUCUGAAAUCGCAAACCAUAAAUCCUAAACUUUAACCCCUAAAUCAUACACCCAAAGUACCCCAAACCUCAAACCACGAACCCCAAACCUCAAUCCCGAAACUGGAACCCAAAGUCCUAAACACUAAACCCUAAAUACCCCUAACCCUGAACCCUAAACCUCGAACCUCGAACCUCGAACCUUGAACCUGAAACCCUGAAGCCAAAACCACCAACCUCGAAACCUCGAAAAGUCCAAACCUGAAACCCAAACCGCAAACCUUCCAACCCUCAACCCCAACCCAACCCCAACCUCAAAAGCUCGAAAACUCUAAACCUCGAAACCCAACCCCUACCUCUCAAACCAUCAAACCCUAAACCCAAAACCCUAAACCCAAAACCCUAAACCCUAAACCCAAAACCAAAACCCCAAAACCCCAAAACCCCAAAAUGACCAAAUAAUCCUUAAGUGUAAGUUCGUAACUCACAAACUAACAAAAAGUUCAAAAUGUGUGAAAAUGCACUUUGAGACCUAAAAUGGCAACCAAGUAUGCAAGUGAAACAAACCUAGUCUUAAACAAAUCUAAAAUUUGUUCAAACUAUGUUUAAGUAUCACUUGAACUUUCAGAACGACCUAAGAACGUUUACUUGUAAGUUUGUCACUCAUAACCUACCAAAAAAUUCAAAAAGUACGGAAAAGAAAAAAACACUACAGGACCCAAAAUGGCAACCAAGUGUGCAAGUGCAACAAACUUAGUUCCAAACGAACCUAAAAAGUGGUCAAGGCGUGUCUAAGUAUUACUUGGACUUUCAAAACGACCUAACAAAGCUUAAGUGUAAGUUGGUAACCCAUAGCCUACCAAAAAGUUCAAAAAGUGUGAAAAGGGCACUUCAAGACCCAAAAUGGCAACCAGGUGGGUAAGGUCAACAAACUUAGUUUCAAACCAACCUACAACGAGUUCAAAACGUGUCUCAGUAUCACUUGAACUUUUAAAACGACCUAAAAAUCUUACGUGUAGGUUCGUAACUCAUAACCUACCAAAAAAGUUCAACUAGUGUGAAAAAAGCACUACAAGACCCAAAAUGGCAACCAAGUGUGCAAGUGCAAUAAACUUAGUGCAAACCAAGCUAAAACGUGCUCAAAACGUGUCUAGGUAUUACUUGAGUUUUCAAAAUGACCUAGCAAAUCCUAAGUGUAAGUUUGUAACUCAUAAUCUACCAAAAAGGUUGAAAAAAGAAUUUCAAGAACAAAAAUGACAACCAAGUGUGUAAGUGCAACAAACGCAAUCUAGCCUAAAAAUGUAAUCAAAAUGUGUGUAAGCAUCACUUGAAUUUUCAAAACGACAAACAAUGCUUAAAAUGUAAGUUUGUAAUCACAACUACCAAAAUUUCAAAAAGUGUGAAAAAAGUACUUCAAGACCCAAAACGGAAACGAAGUAUCUAAGUGCAACGAACUUAGUUUCAAGCCAUCCUAAAAAGAGGUCAAAACGUGUCUAAGCUUUCAAACCGACCAAACAAUACUCAAGCGUAAGUUCGUAACUCACAACCUACAAAAAUUUCAAAAAGUGUGAAAAAAAGCACUUCAAGACCCAACAUGUCAACCAAAUGUGUAACAAACAUAGUUCCAAACAAACACAAAAUGUGUUUAAAAGGACCUAACAAUGCUUAAGUGUAAGUUCGUAACUCAUAAACUAACAAAAAGUUCAAAAUGCUUGUGAAACAAGUAUGCAAGUGAAACAAACUUAGUCUUAAACAAAUCUAAAAAAUGUUCAAGUCGUGUUUAAGUAUCACUUGAACUUUCAGAACGACCUAAGAAUGUUUGUUUGUAAGUUCGUCACUCAUAACCUACCAAAAAGUUCAAAAAGUAUGGAAAAAAAAAACACUCCAGGAUCCAAAAUGACAACCAAGUGUGCAAGUGCAACAAACUUAGUUCCAAACCAACCUAAAAAGUGGUCAAGGCGUGUCUAAGUAUCACUUGGACUUUCAAAACGAUCUAAGAAAGCUUAAGUGUAAUUUGGUAACCCAUAGCCUACCAAAAAGUUCAAAAAGUGUGAAAACAACACGUCAAGACCCAAAAUGGCAACCAAGUGGGUGAGGUCAAUAAACUUAGUUUCAAACCAACCUAAAACGAGUUCAAAACGUGUCUAAGUAUCACUUGAACUUUCAAAAGGAUCUAAAAAAGCUUAUGUGUAGGUUCGUAACUAAUAAGCUACCAAAAAGUUCAAAAAGUGUGAAAACAGCACGUCAAGACCCAAAAUGGCAACCAAGUGGGUAAGGUCAAUAAACUUAGUUUCAAACCAACCUAAAACGAGUUCAAAACGUGUCUAAGUAUCACUUGAACUUUCAAAAUGAUCUAAAAAAGCUUAUGUGUAGGUUCGUAACUAAUAAGCUACCAAAAAGUUCAAAAAGUGUGAAAAGAGCACUUGAAGACCCAAAAUGACAACCAAGUGUGUAAGUGCAACAAACUCAAUCUAACCUAAAAUGUAUUCAAAACGUGUGUAAGUAUCACUUGAAUUUUCAAAACGACCAAACAAUGUUUAAGUGUAAGUUUGUAACUCACAACCUACCAAAAUUUCAAAAAGUGUGAAAAAAGCACUUCAGGACCCAAAAUGGCAACAAAGUGCGCAAAUGCAAUAAACUUAGUUCCAAACCAAUCUAAAAAGUGGUGAAGGUGUGUCUAAGUAUCACUUGGACUUUCAAAACGAUCUAGCAAAGCUUAAGUGUAAGUUGGUAACUCAUAGCCUACCAAAAAGUUCAAAAAGUGUGAAAAGAGCACUUUAAGACCAAAAUGACAACCAAGUGAGUAUGGUCAACAAACUUAGUUUCAAACCAACCUAAAACGACUUCAAAACGUGUCUAAGUAUCACUUGAACUUUCAAAAUGACCUAAGAAAGCUUACGUGUAGGUUCGUAACUCAUAAGCUACGAGAAAGUUCAAAAAGUGUGAAAAUAGCACUUCAAGAUGACAACCAAGUGUGUAAGUGCAACAAACUUAGUGUCAAACCAACCUAAAACGUGCUCAAAACGUGUCUAGGUAUUACUUGAGUUUUUAAAAUGACCUAGAAACUCUUAAGUUCUUCUGCCUUCUCCUUCAACGCUUAGACAGAUUGUUGAAAUUCUAUGUUUCUGCAAUGUUUCCCAGAACAUGAAACAUUCAUUAUGGAAAUAAGUACCAUGAAUACAAACCGUGAAGAAACAGUAAAAAACAGUCAAUACAAGAAGCAAGUGGAAGCUCAGAAGUUUCAUAUUUCAUCAGGAAGAUUUUCAUUUUGAUUGUCUAAUAUUCAACUCUAAUUACAUAAGGUGCAUUAGUGUAAGCAAAGACGGAAACAAAAGAAACAUAACUCACCUUACCGCCUUCUCUAAUUGAUCCAUUUGCAUCACGUACACAGUAAACCUGUUGCGUUUGGAACUGUUGAAAUUCAAUAAAAAGGAGUUAACAUCAUCUCAUCCUACAAAACAAAAUCCACAACUAUAGAACAAAGACUGUCAGAGCAUACAGCUACAAUGAUAAUGGGUGCUUCCCAUCAUCUUGGUCUCUCGUACCUCAACAUCUGAAAUGUGCAGAAUCUGUUUAUCAUAACAGAAAUAAUUACUUUUAAGUCAUAGAAAAAAGCCUUACAUUAAUUAGAAUACCAUCCACCUGUCAAGAUGUGUACAUACCUCAAACAAUAGCCAAAGCACAAGGGGUUGUUUACGAGUGCUUGUAGCACAAGUAAUGCAAUUAUGAACCCUUCAAUAUAAAAAAAUGAUUAAUAAUCAAAUACUCAGAUGUUUUCUUUCACUCUCGUACUAUUGUUUAAGUGCUUCUUGGUCAAGCACCUAGACCAAAAGGCUAUCUAUGAGCGUUUUCUAGUUUCUGAAAAAAGAAAUACUCUAAUGUGUGGUCGUACUAGCAUAAACAGUCAUAGAUAAUUAUGAGAUGAUAUCCUUCGUAAUGGGAUAAGAUAAUACUUACUAUUAUUUAGUAUUUUCUUUUAUUUAAUUGAAGAAAUAAUUGGAAAAUAAAACAGAAAGUACAAAAAUGAGUAAUAACCCCAGUAAAGACCGGUAUGAUUCAAUUCAACAUUUUGUUUGGUCUCUCGACAUGAUGAUAAUUUUUACCUAGAGUGCUUCUAGGCCAUAAUGCAAAUAUUAACACGUGACAGAGUUCCCACAUAUGACUUUAUUCUCUCAUUGUUGCCCAUUAUGUAAAGUUGUCGAUGAAACACCAGCCAGUUUAUCAUUUGCCAUUUUGCUGAAAAAUUUAGGAAGCAGAUCAUCUCUCCUUUGGUUAAUCUGCGCCCUACCAAACAAGAUUAUGAACCUUCUUUUAUGCACCCUCACUGGCACCCUUUACUGACUUUAAAAGAAUUACGUGGAUGCAUCUUAUUCGGAAAUUUUUACAGAUUCGCAUGGAAGGAACAGGAACAAUCGCCUCCUUAGUGAAAAGGCAGGCCUUAAGAUAGGUUUCUUAUUCCUUUUAAAAUAUAAUCUAUCCUGCUAUGACUUAGUGCAAUUUUUCAUGUUUCUAUAGCUCUUCCAAUCUCUAUUCUUGCAUCUCUUCUGACUGAUUGGAGAAAUCUCUUGUAAACUCUAUUCGCGUGGGUGUUUCACCAAACCUUUUGUAAAUUUCAUACAUCAAUAAAAUUACUUCUUAUAAAAAAAAAUAAGGGGAAGAAACUACGUUUUAGAGACAAAUGGCUCUAAAGCACACACAAACAUUCUCCAUCUCACUAUCUAUCUGCCCUAUUUCCAAUUUAAUCCAGCAUUCAUUUGGGUUAUUGUAGGUUCAUAUUUAGAAAUAGUCAUUCAUGUUGUGAUGCAAAAUCCCUUUUAUGUAUCUAAAACUAAAAUCACGAAAAUCAUCGUGGACAUGUAGCACAACAAACUAAAUUUCCACGGGAAGCCUUUGCUAACAAAAUGGUAGACAAUAAUUACUCAAGCAAGAGAGAAGGACUAUAAUUAAUUAACAGAAGUACAAAUCAAUCUAGGUGCACAACCACCAAGCAAGAGAGAAGGAACAAUAAACUUCAAUAACAAAAGAAAGGUAGUAUCCAGACUAUCCUUACUUGUUAUCGAAGAAGAUACCUUGGCUUCGGUAAGCCCGAUGCUCUGUCAUACAACGUUCAUUUACCUCAGUACUGCAAUGUUUCUUCAAAGUUUGGGAAUCUACCUAAAACAUAAAUAUAUAUUACAACUUGAAACCUCCAUGUCAGAAACUUUACUUUAAUUAUCAAACUAGAUGCUAUGCAAGAAUUAGUUAGCAGAAAUACAACAUAAAUAGUAAUGAUAUUCUUUGGGGAGUGGAUAAAAGUAUCUUUCAUCUUCGAAAUAAGCUUAGCAGUUAGCAUUAACCUUUAUAUUUUGAUUACUUCUUAAACUUCAUCCACGAAAUAUGGUAAAGAGAAAGACCUAAUCCAUAAUGCUAAAGAGGAAAAGACCAAGUCAGAUUCCUUUAUUCAAACAGGUUAGUAUCACAGCUCCAAAGGAAAAAACUUACGGAUCUCUACGAUGAAUUUUCUUGAAUGUGAAAAAUAAGAUCGAUAAAUAAAACUUUUGGCUACAAUUAGCCACAGAAACAUAAAGUUGUGACAUGAAAACAAAUCUAACAGAUAAUUAACUAUACAGUUUGUAGGCAAAAUACCAAAUAGCCCAUAAUCAAGAUCACAACUCAAGCAGACAAUAAUGUGUAGUUUAUCAUUUCCAACUAAAUAAUUCAAUAAUACAUAAGGUCAAAUGGCCAAAUAAUAUGGCCUUUCACAUAAAUACUUGCUCCUGAUUUUUUGAACGAUAAUGUUAUCACUUGUCUCCCACGUUUCACGAAGGCGCCCUCAACCAUCUAUCAAUUCCAAUAUAAGAAAAUUAUUUUACAUAUUAUAUUAAACAUUGAAAAUUCUUUUACAUAUGAUUUUUUUUUUACGUAUUCCUAUUGAAGAAUCUCAUUUGAGCAUUUUAUGCUCAAUUUGACUUGAAAGAAACAACAGACUUUCAAUUAGAAGUAAGCAAGAUGCCAAGUUUUUUUGAACAACUGUUUUUUUUUUUUUUUUUGCUUUAACUUGUUGUAAAUUGGAGAUGUUUUCCAUAACUACUUCGGCUUGGAGCUCUCCUUAUGUAAUUUCAAGAAAUAGAUAAAAUCCAAGUUAAACUAGAUAAGUAGAAAAGAUAUAAUCUCUCUAGUGGAGGUCGGGGCACACUUUUGUAAGUCAGUUUUUUCCUAUAUACCUACAUAUUAUAUGUCUAUAUUCUUAAUGCCAAAAAAGAUGAUUCAUAAAGUGAUUAAUUGGAAGGUGGUGUCUUGCUCGCAAGAGGAUGACGGACUCGACGUCGAUGGUGUAAAGUUGAAAAAAUGCAACCUUCUUGCUAAAUGGGUAUGGAGAUUUAUAAAUGAAAGAAUUCCCUUUGGGCUAAAAAAGUGGUGAAGAGUAUCCAUGGAGAAAGUUAAUUUGGAUGGCAUACUAAAGGAAUUGUCACUUGCAGUCUCCAUAGUCCCUGGAUUAGUAUUUCGAGAUGCUAGCUUCAAGUGGAUUCCUAGGCAUUCAUCAAGUUCGGUGAUGGUUGAAGAAUAGCAUUUUGGAAUGAUUCUUGGGCAGAUGUUUCUUUUCCAAGAUUGUUUCGAUUGUCUUUGAACUCUAAUAAUGGAGAUGUAAAGAAGUUUUGGGACUCUUCCACUACUUCAUGGGCUCAAAAUUUCAGUAGACUUCUAAAAACUUCAGACUAGAUGGAAGGAAACACCAAGGGAGAGCUAACAACAAUGCAGCUUUGUUGAAAAAAAUAUCCCUCCCAAGUCAUCCUUCGAUCUUGAGUGAGUGACUAGAACCAGAAUAUUUCAUAAGAACUUUAGAGGGCCAAAAUAAUAAAAGCAUUCGUCGAACCUCAUGUGAUCCACUAAAACAAACCUAAAAGAUAAUUGGCUGAAAAACCAAGAUCAAGUUAUUCUAUACUCAAACCAAAGUAGUUCCACAUUGCUCAACAAUUGACUUCAAGCGAUCUGGAACUUCACAUUGUCGAGCUUGUGAGGGAAAUAAAGAGACUUGUUUCUCAGUUUAAAUCCUCCCUUGUCUGAAAGCGGUAUUAAGAUCAGAUUCUAGAGGAUCCUUAAUCGACUGAUCAAUGUUUACAAUGAGUAGUGGAGGCACUUUUGAUUCAGAUUUUACCGAAGGAGCUCAAGGUAUCGUGCAAUGUGAUCGAUUUUCUUGGGACACAUAAAUAAAUCUAACGCCAAUUGAAACAUAAGACUAGUAUUUGGAGCAUGAUAUUUCUUCCUAUCUCUACAUGUAAAAUCACAAAGAAAAAAGAAUUUCACAAAAUAACAGAAAACAAAAUUAGACAAAAUCAGGGCAUGGCCGAGGAUGAGAUUAGAGAUGAAGCGGUGAUUAGUAUUUAUUGAGAAUGGGAGAAAAGUAGAAUGUCAAACCAAUCCAAGAACAUACCUCACAAAUCUUCGGAGAGACGAUCGUGGUCAAAGCAGUGGUUGUGGUCGAGGAUGAGAUUAGGGAUGAAAGGAUGUUACGAAAGGUAUAUCAACAAGAAGAAGGGUAAAACAACAACAUCCUGUCAAAAUCACUUAAUUGAUUGAGAUCUUUUAACAUGACUGCUUGCGAACUAAAGAAAAAUUUAGAAUGUGACUGAGAACUUUUAGCACAACCGGGCAGCAUCUUCAAUAACAGAAAAACAUGCAUAAUGUAGGAAGACAGCAGAUUUAAAAUUAUGACAGUGUAUUUAUGAAUGUCAGGCGAUACAUUAAUGUUCCAAAUUCAACCAAAGUAUGGGAUGAAAGAUAUACAAGAAUCUUCCAUGAUAAGGGCAAGACCAGGAUAUCCUUAUCCAAAAGAAAGAAAAAAAUAAUCAACCAAAGUAAAUUCCAUGUAUGAUUGGAAAUUAUGGCCAAGGCGAAGGAUGAAGUGAGAAUAGAAGGAAUAUUGAGCAGGGUACGACUUACCAUUAGCUUAGAUCAAAACCAGCAUCCGCAUUUAUGGCAUAAAGAAAUUUGUUUGCCAGCUGCUCCUUGCUGCAUUGAUCACAAAUCAUAGAGUUGUGAAAAUGAAAACUUAUGCAAGUUUUUUUUAUCCUUUUUAGAAAAGAUGUAUAUGUUUUAGUUCAUCACAAAUCAACAGACUUAAUAACUGAUGUAAUUCAAGUUGGACUUAGUUUUUCACAAUGAAUUCUCCACAAUAGUGGCUAAGAGAUGGAGUAUAUAUUGAGGAUUGUAAGUAGUUACAAGUAGUUGAAAUAACUGUUUUUAUGAAACAGUUUUAAUUGCAGUCUUAACAGCUAAACAGUUUAAUUAUUUAAACUGUUUUACUAACUAACUACAGCUGUUAGCCAUGGCAUUCUAUAUUACAUCAUUCCACCCCUAGCAUGGAACUCGACCCGAGUGACUUAGUUGACAAGGCAGAAAUCAUCUGGGGCAUAGUACUGUUUCAGGUCUGCCACGUUAAAAUAGGAUGAAUGUGCAAGUCUGGUGGUAGUUCAAUUCUGUAAGCGUUAUCUCAAAUCUUUUCUAGGACACGAAAUGGUCCUAAUUGUCUGUCUUUCAGUUUGUGUUCCAGUUGGAAAUCGAAUUUUUCUGAGGUGAAUCAUUACUAAGUCUCCCUCAGUAAAGGUAGCUUGUCUUCUCUUUUUGUCUGCUGCCUUUUGUGUAGGACUGAGUUGAUUCUUUUNNNNNNNNNNNNNNNNNNNNNNNNNNNNNNNNNNNNNNNNNNNNNNNNNNNNNNNNNNNNNNNNNNNNNNNNNNNNNNNNNNNNNNNNNNNNNNNNNNNNNNNNNNNNNNNNNNNNNNNNNNNNNNNNNNNNNNNNNNNNNNNNNNNNNNNNNNNNNNNNNNNNNNNNNNNNNNNNNNNNNNNNNNNNNNNNNNNNNNNNNNNNNNNNNNNNNNNNNNNNNNNNNNNNNNNNNNNNNNNNNNNNNNNNNNNNNNNNNNNNNNNNNNNNNNNNNNNNNNNNNNNNNNNNNNNNNNNNNNNNNNNNNNNNNNNNNNNNNNNNNNNNNNNNNNNNNNNNNNNNNNNNNNNNNNNNNNNNNNNNNNNNNNNNNNNNNNNNNNNNNNNNNNNNNNNNNNNNNNNNNNNNNNNNNNNNNNNNNNNNNNNNNNNNNNNNNNNNNNNNNNNNNNNNNNNNNNNNNNNNNNNNNNNNNNNNNNNNNNNNNNNNNNNNNNNNNNNNNNNNUAUUAAUCUUUUUCUUUCCUACUAAAGAAGCUCUAAUUUAUUACUCUAGGAAUGGUCCUUUCUAACUUAUAUACAGGUAACAAAAAAUAAAUUGAAGAAAUACUCUGAGCUUUUCCAUUUAGAAAUCCCAAUGAGCAAAGACUAAAGUCUUCCCGGGAUUCUUAGGAUGCCAAACUCCUCUCAUUGGAUAGACAUCAAUAUAUCUUAGAUGAGAAGCUACCUUGAAUAGCCUUGCUUCCUCAGCAUAUAAACAUAAAUAUAUUUGUUGUAUUCAAUCAAAAAUAAAAGAUAAGCUUGUUCUGAAACCAAUUCCAAAAAUUUCUUCGAAAAUAUGCUGGGAGAGUUGUUGUUGUUUAAAUACUUGGUCCUUCGAAGGUUGGAAUUACAAUGUAACUUUUCACAUAUUCAUGAAAAGUUAUGAUUCUUAUUAUGAAAGAAUGAAACUUCGAACUAGUUCCUAAAGGUAGUACUUUUAGCUGAUGUGGCAAUUUGGAUCAGCCAUGUACGGUUGCAUUCCUCAAUGUGAGUGAUAAUCAAACCCAAACUACCUCAAAGGAAUUAUUUUGUACAGUAACUCCAUCUUUACCAACUGCGACAUAAAACUAUCUAGGGUUCAUGGGUUGGGGUAAGAAAACUUUUGGACCCAACCCACCAAGUCUUUUUAUCAUUAAGUUUUCUUCAUUUUUAUGUCAAUUGGCAUGUAUUUUAUAAGCUUUGAGAGAAGAAACUUAAUAUAAAUGUAUACUUGGUCAGAACCCCGUCAUUUAGCCUCAAUUUUCACAAUGUAGAGGUAUAGAAUUCAGAGAGGUUAUUUUAUUUUCUUAAAAUUACUCCCCAACUGUUAAUCUAUGAUUAACUUUUGCUAUAAAAAAUUAGUCCUUAUAUCCCUCUUCUAGAAAUUUGACAAACAUAUUAAUCAGGCGCCUUUUUCUGAAAAAUAAUUGUUCAUAUUUUUUUUUUGAAACAGAGACAACCCUUUUUAUUAAAGAUGUAAGUAAAAGAGACUAAUGCUCAAACUAUAGGAGAAUUAUACUAAGAGCGAAAAGAAUGACCAAAACAAAAGUACAGACAAAUUGAACAAAACAAUCAAAAUCCUGAGAAAACAAUAGAAAACUGAGAACAAAGCGAACUUAAAACCUUUCAACAAGAAGCCCAAAAUCAGCUGAAAAUUGCAGACUAAAAACUUCAGACUAGAUGGAAGGAAACACCAAGGGAGAGCUAACAACAAUGCAGCUUUGUUGAAAAAAAUAUCCCUCCCAAGUCAUCCUUCGAUCUUGAGUGAGUGACUAGAACCAGAAUAUUUCAUAAGAACUUUAGAGGGCCAAAAUAAUAAAAGCAUUCGUCGAACCUCAUGUGAUCCACUAAAACAAACCUAAAAGAUAAUUGGCUGAAAAACCAAGAUCAAGUUAUUCUAUACUCAAACCAAAGUAGUUCCACAUCGCUCAACAAUUGACUUCAAGCGAUCUGGAACUUCACAUUGUCGAGCUUGUGAGGGAAAUAAAGAGACUUGUUUCUCAGUAAUUAAAUCCUCCCUUGUCUGAAAGCGGUAUUAAGAUCAGAUUCUAGAGGAUCCUUAAUCAACUGAUCAAUGUUUACAAUGAGUAGUGGAGGCACUUUUGAUUCAGAUUUUACCGAAGGAGCUCAAGGUAUCGUGCAAUGUGAUCGAUUUUCUUGGGACACAUAAAUAAAUCUAACGCCAAUUGAAACAUAAGGACUAGUAUUUGGAGCAUGAUAUUUCUUCCUAUCUCUACAUGUAAAGAUCACAAGAAAAAUAAGAAUUUCACAAAAUAACAGAAAACAAAAUUAGACAAAAUCAGGGCAUGGCCGAGGAUGAGAUUAGAGAUGAAGCGGUGAUUAGUAUUUAUUGAAAAUGGGAGAAAAGUAGAAUGUCAAACCAAUCCAAGAACAUACCUCACAAAUCUUCGGAGAGACGAUCGUGGUCAAAGCAGUGGUUGUGGUCGAGGAUGAGAUUAGGGAUGAAAGGAUGUUACGAAAGGUAUAUCAACAAGAAGAAGGGUAAAACAACAACAUCCUGUCAAAAAUCACUUAAUGUGAUUGAGAUCUUUUAGCAUGACUGCUUGAGAACUAAAGAAAAAUUUAGAAUGUGACUGAGAACUUUUAGCACAACCGGGCAGCAACUUCAAUAACAGAAAAACAUGCAUAAUGUAGGAAGACAGCAGAUUUAAAAUUAUGACAGUGUAUUUAUGAAUGUCAGGCGAUACAUUAAUGUUCCAAAAUUCAACCAAAGUAUGGGAUGAAAGAUAUACAAGAAUCUUCCAUGAUAAGGGCAAGACCAGGAUAUCCUUAUCCAAAAGAAAGAAAAAAAUAAUCAACCAAAGUAAAUUCCAUGUAUGAUUGGAAAUUAUGGCCAAGGCGAAGGAUGAAGCGGAGAAUAGAAGGAAUAUUGAGCAGGGUACGACUUACCAUUAGCUUAGAUCAAAACCAGCAUCCGCAUUUAUGGCAUAAAGAAAUUUGUUUGCCAGCUGCUCCUUGCUGCAUUGCUCACAAAUCAUAGAGUUGUGAAAAUGAAAACUUAUGCAAGUUUUUUUAUCCUUUUUAGAAAAGAUGUAUAUGUUUUAGUUCAUCCACAAAUCAACAGACUUAAUAAACUGAUGUAAUUCAAGUUGGACUUAGUUUUUCACAAUGAAUUCUCCACCAAUAGUGGCUAAGAGAUGGAGUAUAUAUUGAGGAUUGUAAGUAGUUACAAGUAGUUGAAAUAACUGUUUUUAUGAAACAGUUUUAAUUGCAGUCUUAACAGCUAAACAGUUUAAUUAUUUAAACUGUUUUACUAACUAACUACAGCUGUUUAGCCAUGGCAUUCUAUAUUACAUCAUUCCACCCCCUAGCAUGGAACUCGACCCGAGUGACUUAGUUGACAAGGCAGAAAUCAUCUGGGGCAUAGUACUGUUUCAGGUCUGCCACGUUAAAAAUAGGAUGAAUGUGCAAGUCUGGUGGUAGUUCAAUUCUGUAAGCGUUAUCUCAAAUCUUUUCUAGGACACGAAAUGGUCCUAAUUGUCUGUCUUUCAGUUUGUGUUCCAGUUGGAAAUCGAAUUUUUCUGAGGUGAAUCAUUACUAAGUCUCCCUCAGUAAGGGUAGCUUGUCUUCUCUUUUUGUCUGCUGCCUUUUUGUAGGACUGAGUUGAUUCUUUUAGGUGGUUAUGGACUUCUUCGUGUAAAUUCUGAAUCUUUUCUACCAUCUUUUCUGCUUCUGAGCUAGUGUCAAUAGCUGUGGGGAGUGAUGCUAGGUCAAAGGUUGUUAGUCUUGGCUGUUUUGUGUAUACGACCUCAAAUGGACAUUUGCCGGUUGAUCUAUUCUUCAUAUUGUUGAAGGCGAAUUCUGACUGUGCAAGAGCUAAGUCCCACUGUUUUGGUUUGGAUCCACUAAGACAGCAUAUUAAGUUGUCGACAGUUCUAUUUGUAACUUCUGUUUGGCCAUCUGUUUGAGGGUGUGAUGUUGUGCUAUAUUUCAUUCAAGGUUGUGUCAAAUUUGCUCCAUAAUGUCUUCCAGAAAUGGCUUAGGAACUUGACAUCCCGAUUAGAAACAAUGGUCUUUGGUACUCCGUGCAGCCGAACUAUCUCUCGACAGAAUAAAUUAGCUAUGUAGGUGGCAUCAUUUGACUUCUUACAAGCCACAAAGUGUGCCAUUUUACUGAAUCUGUCGACUACAACCAUGACUCAGUCAUACUGCCUUUGAGUUUUUGGUAAUCAGAGCCCGAAAUCAAUUGAUAGAUCUUCUCAAAUGGAAAUUGGGGUAGGUAAUGGUGAGUACAGGCCUGCGUUUAUACUUGAACCUUUAGCUCUUUGGCAGAUAGGGCACCUUUUAAUAAAGUUGUUACAGUAUCUUCUUAAUUAAGGCCAGUAGUAUCUCUUAAAGAUUAUUUCAAAAGUUUUAUCCUGCCCGAAGUGUCCAGCCAAUCCUCCUGAAUGAGCCUCUUUUAGUAGUGCUUCUAGAAGUGAUGUGUGUGGGAUACACAACUGAUCUCCUUUGAAUAGAUAUCCUUCCAUUAUAUGGAAGUCUUCCGCCUUGGUGUAGUGGCUGCAUUUGGUCCAUGUCAUGGCGAAGUCAACGUCUUCCCCAUAUAGGUUAGGUAAGUGUUUGAAUGCCUCGAUCUCCAUGGAUAGAAUAGUGAGUAAGGAGCUCUUCCUGGAUAGUGCAUCUGCCACCUUGUUCUCCUUACCAUUUUGGUGCCUAAUGACAAAGUCGAACCUUUGUAGGAAGGAGAUCCAUCGUGCGUGCAUCCGAGUAAUAUUCUUUUGUGACUAGAGAUCUUUCAAAGAGAAGCGGUUCGUUAGGAGUACAAAUUCCCUGCAUAGGAGGUAAUGUUCCUACUGUUUGAGUGCUCGGACAAGGGCAUAAAGCUCUUGUUCAUAAGUGCUCCAGGACUGUCUUGUUGUGCUCAACUUCUUACUGAAGUAUUCAAUAGGGUGGCCUUGCUGUGAUAACUCGGCUCCAAUUCCGGUUCCGUAAGCAUCAACAGCUACUUCAAAGGGUGAUGCGAAGUUCGACAACUGUAGAAUAGGGCUGGAAGUUAGUCUUCUUUUUAUCUCUUCAAAGCUCUGCUGUUGCUCUUCGUUCCACUUAUAGUUCCCUUUCUUUAGGCAGUCGGUUAAGGGGGUCACUAUUGAGCUGAAGUUUCUGAUGAAUCUUCUGUAAAAGGAUGCCAAGCCAAGGAAGGCUUGUACCUCCUUGAUGGAGGUUGGUAUUGGCCAAGACUUUAUGGCUUCUGUCUUCUUUGGUUCCAUACCUACUUUUCCUUCUUUGAUUACGAAGCCGAGAAAGACAAUUUCCUUGGUGAGGAAUGUACGUUUCUUUGGAUUAAUGUACAGUUCAGUUUCGGCCAGGACUUGGAACAAUUUUCUUAAGUGCUGAAUGUGGUCCUUCAGUACUAUUGUUGUACAAGAGGAUGUCAUCAAAGUAAACCACUAUGAACUGGUUUAGAAACGAGCACUGGUUCAUCAACCUCAUGAAGGUGCUCGGUGCAUUGGAUAAGCCAAAGGCCAUCACCAACCAUUCAAAUAACCCUUCAUUAGUUUUGAAGGUUGUCUUCCACUCGUCUCCGGGCCUGAUUCUUAUUUGGUGAUAACCGCUUCUUAAGUCAACUUUUGAGAAGAUGGUAGCUUUACCUAGUUGAUCUAGUAAGUCUCCAAUUCGAGUAAUAGGAAAUCGGUAUUUUACAGUGAUUCGGUUGAUAGCCCUGCUGUCUACACACAUACUUCAACUUCCGGCCUUAGGUGUGAGCAGUGUUGGCACAACACAAGGGCUUAGGCUAGGCUUCAUGUGACCCUUUUUCAACAAGUCUUCAAUGUGGUCAUGUAAAUUAGGUAGCGAGGCUCCUGGGGUAAGAUCAAUUUGGUGUUGGAUGUCACGAAUUGGUGGCAAUCCUUGCAAGUCCUUCUUUAGGUGAGGAAAUCUGCAAACAAGUUCUCUAAUCUAGUCUCACCUUCUUUCUCCAGGGGUUUGUCAGCCACUACAAGUCCCAAAAGGUCUUGCUCCCUUUCUCUCAAGAUCUUCUUCCCGCUCACUGUGAUGAAGAGUUGUCCUUUUUUCUUCUGCUUCAGGCCUUCAGAGUUUUUCUUUGUUAAUGGGAGUUGAAUUACUUUCCUUCCCAUCCACUGGAACUCAUAGGUGUUUUCCCUCCCCCUGUGUUUGGUUCAGGUGUCAUGUUGCCACGGUCGGCCUAGGAGUAGAUGGCACACGUCCAUGUCUAAAACGUCGCACACAAUCUGGUCUUUGUAGCUACUUUCGAUGGAUAGGGGCACGGUGCAAAUUUCAUUGAUUGUGGUCUCUCCUCCUUUCUUCACCCAUCCUAUUUUGUAAGGAUCAGGGUGAGGGUCUGUUUUUAGGCAGAGAAUGGUCACAAUCUUUAUUGCUAAAAAGUUCUCACUGCUUCCACUAUCACUUAUAAUGUCCUCUAUAGCCAUGAGCCAUGAUUGUAUGGGUGGUUUGCCGAAUCUCUGUCUAUUUAUCUCCAAUUGGUCCCACCAUGUUAAGGCUCCUCCUCCCAAUUUUAGAGCCACAAGUUCUCGGUGUUUUUUAUCCAAUCCAAGAAAGAUUCUAUAUCCCGUUUACCAUUAUAGGUUGGGAGGUCAAUUUUCAUUUUGUAGUCGUGAUGAAUCUCUCGUCAUGCUUUAUGUCCUCUAUAGCCGUGAGCCAUGAUUGUAUGGGUGGUUUGCCCUAUCUCUGUCUAUUCAUCUCCACUUGGUCCCACCAUGCCGAGGCUCCUCUUCUCAAUUUUAGAGCCACAAGUUCUCGGUGUUUUUUAUUCAAUCCAAGAAAGAUUCGAUAUCCCGUUUACCAUUAUAGGUUGGGAGGUUAAUUUUCAUUUUGUAGUGGUGAUGAAUCUCUCGUCAUGCUUUAUGUCCUCUAUAGCCGUGAGCCAUGAUUGUAUGAGUGGUUUGUCGAAUCUAUGUCUAUUUAUCUUCAAUUGGUCCCACCAUGCCGAGGAUCCUCCUCUCAAUUUCAGAGCCAUAAGUUCUCGGUGUUUUUUAUCCAAUCCAAGAAAGAUUUGAUAUCCCGUUUACCAUUAUAGGCUGGGAGGUCAAUUUUCAUUUUGUAGUCGUGAUGAAUCUCUCGUCAUGCUUUAUGUCCUCUAUAGCCAUAAGCCAUUCGAUAUUCUCCGUUGUCGUUCCAAAUAUUUCCUUGGUCGUCGCCACUGGAAGAAUCAUAAUCUUGCACGUUUUGCCACUCCUCGUCGUCAUCUUGCUCAUCAUCGUCGGCGUGUCGUAGUGGGAUUCCUCCCGGUCUCCUUCUUUGAUCAUUUCUUUGGUUGGGCCAGUUUCUAAGGUUCCUUUGAGCCCGUCAGCCACCUCUGUUUCCUGCCUUCCAGUCAUAAUCCUCGUUCCUUGCCGGUGCCGGUAGUUCAUCCAUUCUUCGAGUGAGUGAGUCUAAGUUGUCCAUUACUUUGUUCAUUUUGUCAUGUAAAUCUCCCAAGGAGUCUUCGACGGCCAGCAAGCGUACAGUGGUGGUCCUUGGAGAGAGGGUGGCGGUCUCUUCCACCUCUUCCUGCUCGCGGUUGUCCCCUGCGGCGGGGAUUCUUCUCCGGCCAGCCAUCCGUCUGAGGAUCGGGGCUGCUCUGAUACCACUUGAUGUAAUUCAAGUUGGACUUAGUUUUUCACAACUGCCAAUAAUGGCUAAGAGAUGGAGUAUUUAUUGAGGAUUGUAAGUAGUUACAAGUAGAUGAAAUAACUGUUUUUAUGAAACAGUCUUAACUGCAGUCCUAACAGCUGAACAGUUUAAUUGUUUAAAACUGUUUUACUAACUAACUACAGUUGUUUAGCCAUGACAUUCUAUAUUACAUCAUAAACCUAACCAAGUUAUUCAACCAAAUUGGUGUUAGUUUCACGUAAUCACGAAAAAUAAAAAUUUCUUGGUGGACUGGAUGUUGUAUGGCCAAGUAAAAAAGAAAACCCAGCCAUAAUGGACGAGCCGUGAAGGUGAAAAACAUAGGAUAUGUUUGAGAAUGAUUUUUUAGAGUUAAAAUCACUCCGUAUAUGUUAGAAGCCACUCUGGCAUGCCCUUAACUAUUGAGAAUUUUAAUCAAUUUAAUGUUUGAUUUAAUACUUAAACCCGAUUUUCAUAGCACCAAAUUUGAUUUUCAAUGACUAAAAUGUGUUCCUCAGAGUAAUUUUGGACAUGACAUGUGAUUUUUAUCAUUUUAAAAUGUUGCUAUAUACUUAAUUAUUUUGAAUCUAAUUGUUACAUUUGCAAUUAUCCCAUUUUUUUUAUGUUCCACGCUAAUCUAUAUAUGCCUGAAUACAGUUUCAAGCAUGUAGCCAGGAAUGUCUCGCAAAGUACUGAGUUACUUUUUCACAUGAUUUUUGCUAGCAGGAUAAAUUAGUUUAAGCUCUAGAAGGAACCAACUUAUCCCCUUAAGGGAAACCAAAACAAAUAAUUAAGAAUAACGAGGAUACGAAUUUUACCCAGGAAAUGGAGAAAAAUGAACAAAACACCAAUUUCCUUUGUAUGCAAAAACAUGGCUCAAGAUAUUUAAGGCCAAGAAGAGGUCCUCGAGAGCAACCAGUUACAAACCUAAUGAAAAAGCAAGAUCCAAUUGUUAUAUUUCUGAAGUUCAGUUUUUCUCUAAGCCAACUUGAGACAAGAAGUAAUGACCAACUGAUGUGUAAUGAAAAUACUCACUUCAGAAAUUUCUUUUGGUUUUCCACGGAGAAACUUUUGAUAACUUCCCAAAACAUCUCAAUGACAUAAUGCUCCUGAAAGCAUGAAAUAAAAAUUCAAAUUUCGAUGUUCCCACAUUUCAAAAGCAUAAAAGAACAUGAUUAAAAAAGUGAAGAUGUUUCUCAGUUUCCUAUCACAAAUUUCUUGAUCAUGGUUGUGCCUGACCAAACAGGGCAUUACAAACAAUACAAGUCCAAAGUUUGUUUUCAUAGUCAUAGAAACAUAAGAGAGGACUAGAAGUCUGAAUAAUGGUAAUCAAUUUAUCCCCCAGUUUCAAACACAAAUACAGGCAUACACAUUGUAAGAAUUCGAAAUUAAUUGAAAAAUAUUAAAAAGAAUCUAAACGAUGACCAACUCCCUAAGCUCCAAAGACUUCAAAACCAUCUCCCAAUUACCCGGGUGAGAUCCUCCAACAUCAUCUACAAUUAUGAAAUUUAAUUGACUUGACAUCACAAUUCCGAUUGCACUACAAUAAAUCUAGUAUUCGAUAUCCUAAACCAAGAAUUGUUCAACCUCCAAAGGAAGAUUAAUUGUAACUAAUCUUCUUGCAAGAUUUCAAAUUUUCAAAAUUUUAUCGAACACAAUAUGCAAAAAAAUUAUGCAGAAAAGAAAAGAAAAGAAAAGAAAAUACAUAUGUAGAAAAAAGGGUUUAAUAGAACUUACCCUAUGAACCUGAUAUUAAAAGCUGAAAUGAAAUAGACCAGUCAAAGACAGCAACUCGAUUUAUCUUGGAACCACAAAAGACUAGCAACAAAACCUCACAGUAUUUAGCCAUUGGUCCAUGAUUUGACCUAAAUUAGGGUUCUCUUUAUGUUUUUCUUAUCAUUUCCCAUCGCAAGGGAAUUUUUUUUCCCACAUCUUUUCCCCUUACAAGGACUUCAGUUGUCACCACUUAGAGUCCAUGUAAGGCUAAAAACAAUCUAGUUCACUUCGUUUAUUUCUCAGAUUUUAAUGAUUAGUAAAAUUCUGCCUCUACACUUUUACGAGCAUUAUGCCUCUUCGAAAAUGAACAACUUGAAUCUUAAGGAAGACUAGUUUCCUUAUCCUGAACCUGAAUCUUCACAUCAUCAAGGAAACCCACAUCUAUUCCUUCAGGUGAACUCAAUAAGGAAGACCCUUAUUCCUCUAGGGUUUAGGCUUUGGUUAGUUGCUGCCCAGAUCACAAGAUCAAGUGUACUCCUAAUCAUUCUAGGUUCUUGCUUUAAUUAGUUUAGUGUUUCACGUCACAUGAAAAUUAAAGGUCGACAAUGGCACAUUAUCAAAACUACUAACCUCCUCCCCCCUCCCCCUCCCCCCACCCACACACCCACACAAAAAGAAGAAUAAAAAUGCAAAUCUAAGUGCUUAACCCUACUGACUUCGUAUGGUCUAGGAGAAAAAAUGUUCCUCCUUUAACAUACUUCUUUCCCAAAUAGUAUAAUUAAUACUAGCAUGAAAUAGGAUUCAAGGCACAUGAGGGCAGUUGAUGUGGCAAUGAUAAACGAGUCAUCAAGAGAUUAUAUAACAGCAAACCAGCCUUUUCAUGCAAACCACGUUACUAUCUCAGUGAGCCAGUGAUACCUGGAAUUCAAGCUCAUUGAACAUGUCGAUCCAUUCUUUCUGUAUAAGCUGCUGAAACCCUCUCAAAAAAUGAGAACUUUGCUGUCGUAUCUGAGGAGGACAUGUUUUCAAUCAACAUUGGAGUAGGGAGACACAUUGGAUAAACAAGGGACAAACUAUGCUGAAAGUUCAAACGAUGAUUGGCAACAAGAUGAAUGAAUGUGAUGACAUUUUCACAGGUGACACGACGGUUUCUUCCUCCAGGAAGUAGCUCUUCUUCAGUUUGCUUUCCAUAUUCAUUGUUUAUAAUAACAAAAUAUAGCCCUAGUUCAGAAAUGUCACCUUCAUAAUGCUGUCCAGAAAAAUCAGAAGGGAAGACCCAAAAUUUAAGAUAAGGAGUGAGAAAAAGAUUCUAUGAGGAUACUAGAUUGAUCUAGAUCAUCGAUCAACAGGCUAAGUGUGGUAUCAGCUAAAAGUGAUACCAGGGAAUACACACCUUUAAGAAAAUAAGGUGGCGAUACAAUUCAGGAUCCAAGCAUGGCAAGUCAUUUAGAUAGUUCUACCUGUUGUGAUGAUAAACAUUGGAAAUAUUCAAUGUUGGGUUAAAUAUUAUUCCAUCUUUAUACCAUGCAACCAUGCAAUAUUAAACUCUCAUAAAUUAUAUAGAAAGCUGAUAGACCUCCCAUAGUAAAGGUGCAUUCCCGUAGAGACAAGAAUAGAAAGAAGAAAGAAUGAUUGAGUGUUAGUUGGUAUUUUUCCAUUUGUGUGGGCCCUUAGGAAUGUGUUUGUUAGAGUGGGGCCAAGUAUUUUAUUAUUUCUCUGAGCAAUUACUUAAGUGUCUUGAGUGGGAGGGUAUGAGUAUCUUUUUGGACAUAUGAUUUUGGUCUAGACUCUCAUUAGAGUCUGGAGAGACUUGGGAGCUCUCAAAUCCUUUCCCACAGUUGAUAAAUAAAAUUUUGGCUAAAGCCUUAACAGUUUUGGUAUCAGAGCCAACGUUCCUGGUAUGGUUGGUAAAAAUUGAGCGAGGAUAUGAAAUUGUUAAUACACGGGAUGGGAGUGACGGGAAGUGCCUCAAAAGGAUCCACAUCUAGUGAAAGAACGAUUACAGACAAGGGAAAGGGAAUAAUGAAUGAGGAACAAGUUCAGGAAGAAAAAAGUGAACAAAAAACUAACCCGGUGGUGGAUGAGGGAGUUGGAGUACCAUGUGCACCAAAUAUUUGUGAGAUACCCCUUUUUGACACGAAGCUACGAAAAUUGGAGGUGCCGAUAUUUAAAGGGGAGGAAGAAGAGAACGUGGAUGGAUAGCUACAUCAUGUGGAGUGCUAUUUUGUGGUGAAUAUCUGACGAAGAGAGAUAAGUUGGAUGCGGCGGUCCUGUGCUUGGAGGGGGAAGCUUUGGACUGGUAUCAAUGGAAGGAGGAUAGAAAGAAAAUCUGCAGCUGGACAGAAUUCUGACAGCUUCUGUGGACGAGAUUCAAAGCGUCCGACCAGGGAGAUAAACACGCAAGGUUGAUGAAAUUACAGCAGGAGACCACCGUGAGGGAUUACCGGCGGCGAUUUGAACAAUUUUCGGCCGGCCUUAAAGAUAUGAGUAAUGCAGCCCUAGAAAGUAAGUUUGUGUGUGGGCUGAAGGAAGAGAUCCAAAGUGAGAUCUGAAAAUUGAAUCCAGUGGGCCUACAGGCUAAAAUGUUAAUGGCCCAAAUAAUUGAGAAGAUGAUCAAGUGGUUCAAUUGAAGAGAAUUCAUGGGGCAAGUGGAAACCCUAAUUUAUCACUUAAAAUGUCGAAUAGUGGGCCAAGCGGGUCGGGAAGUCAAACUGGGUCAAAGGCCUCAAAUCGGGUCGCUACAUCACGAACGAUUACGAUUAACCCUAGCCAAAAUUCAUCGUAUUCAUCCACGACGAUUACUUCAUCGCAGGAAUCGGGCGCGAAGAGUACGAUGUCUCAACCAUACCGCCGAAUGACUGACAACGAAGUGCGGAUUAAGAAGGAAAAAUAUUUGUGUUUUAGAUGUGACGAGAAGUUCAGUCCGGGGCACCGCUGCAAAAGACGUGAAUUGAACAACAUUGUUGUUCAAGAAGGGGAAGACUUAAGUGACAGAACCGAUCAAGUGGGGGAAGAAAUCGAAACCAACGGGAAAUAGUGAAUCUGUCGAUAAAUUCAUUGGUAGGUUUCAAUUCGCCGAAAACCAUAAAAAUUAAAGGAGAAAUAAGGGGACGUGAGGUUGUGGUGCUGGUCGAUGGGGGAGCCACACACAAUUUAAUUGCAGAAGAGAUAGUCAAAGAGCUAAAAAUUUCAGUAGAAACCAUGGAUGCAUAUGGGGUUGUUCUGGGAACCGGAGGCGUAGUCCAAGCAACCGGUGUGUGUAAGGAUGUAAACCUGACAAUCGCCAAUUUAUCAAUCACUCACGAUUUUCUCCCUCUACCACUCGGGAGUGUCAACAUUAUAUUAGGAGUUACUUGGUUGGAAAUGUUAGGGAAAGUAAUUUUUUAUUACAAGUUGUCGGAGAUGGAAUUCUCACUGGGUGAAUGGGUGGUAAUUCUUCAAGGGGAUAGAAGUUUAGUAAUAUCCCAAGUGUCACUUAAAUCGAUGAUGAAAACCUUUGAGAAGGAAGAUCAAGGUGUGUCAAUCGAAUUAAGUGCAGUUGAACAGUGGGGAGCAAGGGAACACAUAGCAGACUACUUGAGUAAACUACAACCAAAUUUCAAAAAGUUCUUCAGUCCUUUAGCGUUGUGUUUGAACCAAGCAAUCAAUUACCCCCACCUCACGAUCAUGAUCAUGCUAUUGAAUUAAAACUAGGGGCUCGUGCAGUGAACGUGCGCCCGUAUCAUUAUCCCCAAUUUCAGAAAGAUGAGAUAGAGAAACUAGUUAAGGAAAUGCUGCUAGCCGGAAUAAUUCAGCCAAGCAAAAGUUCCUUUUCAAGCCUGUGCUCCUUGUUAAGAAAAAAGAUGGUAGCCGGCGAUUUUGUUGAUUACCUAGCACUGAAUCUUGCCACUAUACCAGAUAAGUAUCUGAUUCCUGUUGUUGAUGAACUGUUAGACUUAUUAUUUGGGGCAACCAUAUUCUCCAAAAUUGAUUUAAAGUCAGGUUAUCAUCAAAUUCGGGUGCGGGCGGCCGAUGUUCACAAAACAGCGUUUCGAACCCACGAGGGGCACUAUGAAUUCCUUGUGAUGCCGUUUGGGUUGAAGAACGCUCUGGCAACAUUCCAAUCAGUCAUGAGUGAUGUUCUUUCCCCAUAUUUACGCAAGUUUGUUUUGGUUUUCUUUGAUGACAUCUUAAUUUACAGCAAGUCCUUGGACGAGCAUUUGCACCAAUUGGCAAUGGUUUUGGAAACUCUAGUAGCUCAUCAACUGGUAGCCAACUUUGAAAAAUGCCAAUUUGCGGUUGACAAAAUUGAAUACUUGGGCCAUGUUAUUUCUUCAGAGGGGGUGGCAGCGGAUCCAACAAAAAUAGAAGCGAUGGUUAAAUGGCCAGCACCCAAGAACGUGAAGGAGCUAGGUGGGUUUUUGGGGCUAACGGGGUAUUAUCGGAAAUUUGUUGCAAACUACGGUUCUAUUGCGCUGCCCUUGACACAACUGUUAAAAAAAGGUAACUUUAAGUGGAAUGAGACGGCCGAGAACGCAUUUCAGCAGUUAAAAGUCAGCAAUGAUGUCUGUCCCAGUGCUAGGUAUUCCUGAUUUUUCACAAAGUUUUAUGCUGGAAACUGAUGCUUCGUGUGAUGUAAACUAUAGCUAGUUAGUUAGUAAAAAUCCCUAACUAAUUAGAAAUACAGCUGUAACUAACUUCCUAAAACAGUCUUGUAACUAACUAAAUAAAACAACCUUGUAACUAACUUGUAACUAACCUUGAGAUAUCAAUAUAUAACAGUCUCCUAGCCUGAAAUAUGGCAGAGAAUUCUUUUGAAAAAUCAAUCCAACUUUGAAUUACAUCAAAUUGGUAUCAGAGCAGCCCCGAUUCUUGGACGGAAUGGCUGGCCGAAGAGUUAACAACCCUGCCACGGGGGAAAACCGUGUGCAAGAAGCGGCGGAGGAAAUCACCGUCCUCUCUCCAAAGACAUCAACAGUUCGCUUGCUGGCUGUUGAAGAAUCUUUGGGAGAUCUCCACAACAAAUUUGAUAGGUUGAUGGAAAGUGUCGAACUGUUAAACCGAAGAGGAGAAUUCCCACAGCCACCACCACGGAAUGAAAUUAACUUCCAAAACGACCAACGUUUUGGUGAAACAAGAGGCCGGCGAGCAAGGGGAUACGUUAGAAACAUGAACAAUCCACGAGGACUUCAAAGAAGGAGACCCGGUUACGCUAUACAGCAACAGCUUGACGAAGACUUUCAAGAAGAUCAAGAAGCUUGGCAAGAAACCCAAGAAGAGAUGAUUCUUCAAGCGGGGAUGAACAAGGAAACAUGUGGAACUUCAAUGAUGAAGCACGAGCAGGAAGAAAUAACCAAAGAAUUGAGGCCAGAAGAGGAGAAUACCACGAUUAUAAGAUGAAGAUUGACCUUCCCAUGUAUGAUGGCAAACGAAACAUAGAAGCAUUCUUGGACUGGAUAAAGAGUACUGAAAACUUCUUCAACUACAUGGAUACGCCUGAACGCAAGAAAGUCCACCUAGUAGCCUUAAAAUUAAGGGCUGGUGCAUCAGCUUGGUGGGAUCAGUUAGAAAUCAAUAGACAAAGAUGCGGGAAACAACCGGUUCGCUCAUGGGAAAAGAUGAAAAAAUUAUUGAAGGCAAGAUUCUUACCACCAAACUACGAACAAACUUUAUACAAUCAGUACCAAAACUGCCGCCAAGGUGUCCGGACAGUAGCUGAGUACAUUGAAGAAUUCCACCCAGCCUGAGUGCAAGAACAAACCUAAGCGAAAAUGAACAGCACCAGGUUGCAAGAUUUGUGGGAGGCCUUCGAUUCGACAUCAAGGAAAAGGUCAGACUACAACCAUUUCGUUUCCUGUCUGAAGCAAUAUCAUUUGCAGAAACGGUAGAGGAGAUGAUUGCAAUUCGAUCCAAGAAUCUAAAUAGAAGAUCAGCAUGGGAAACAAAUUCGACAAAAAGCAAAACAAACGACCAACCUUCAACCUCAACAAAAGCAAAAGGGAAAGAGAUUGAUAAUCAAGAAGUAGCCGUUGAAAGAAAGAAAGAACAGACGUUCAAGCCUAGUGGUCAGAACAGCUACUCCCGCUCGUCAUUAGGAAAAUGCUUCCGAUGUGGCCAAACUGGCCACCUGUCCAACAACUGUCCGCAAAGAAAAACCAUUGCAAUAGCCGAAGAAGGAGGACAGAUAAGUGAAGACAGUAUAGAAGCAGAGGAAGAAACUGAACUGAUUGAAGCAGAUGAUGGGGAAAGGGUCUCUUGUGUUAUCCAACGGUUACUAAUUACGCCCAAGGAAGAAAAGAACCUGCAACGCCACUGUCUUUUCAAGACAAGAUGCACCAUAAACGGAAGAGUAUGUGACGUAAUCAUAGACAGCGGCAGCAGUGAAAACUUCGUAGCAAAGAAAUUAGUAACAGUCUUGAAUCUAAAGGCUGAAGCACAUCCAAACCCUUACAAGAUAGGUUGGGUGAGAAAAGGAGGAGAAGCCACGGUCAGCGAAAUCUGUACAGUCCCUCUCUCCAUUGGAAACGCCUACAAAGACCAAAUUGUUUGUGAUGUCAUUGAGAUGGAUGUAUGCCAUCUCCUACUAGGAAGACCUUGGCAGUAUGAUACUCAAUCAUUACACAAAGGGAGGGAAAAUACAUAUGAGUUUCAAUGGAUGGGAAGAAAGGUAGUCUUACUCCCUAUAACGAAAAAGAUUAACGAAGGGUUAAGAGGUGAGAAACAGUUAUUCAUCACUGUUAGUGGGAAAAACAUGCUUAAAGAAAGGGAACAAGACAUCCUAGGACUGGUUGUUAUUGAAAAAACCAAAGAAAAACAGGUUGAAGACAUAGAACCCAAAUUACAGCAGCUCCUUCAUGAGUUCCCUCAUAUAAAGGAAGAACCGAAGGGACUCCCACCCCUUCGAGAUAUACAGCACCACAUAGACUUGAUUCCGGGAGCAUCACUACCAAAUUUGGCUCACUAUAGGAUGAGCCCCCAGGAGUACAAAAUACUUCAUGAUCAUAUUGAGGAAUUACUAAAGAAAGGGCACAUCAAACCUAGCCUCAGCCCGUGUGCAGUACCAGCACUUCUCACGCCAAAGAAAGAUGGAAGCUGGAGAAUGUGCGUUGACAGCAGAGCCAUCAACCGCAUCACGGUAAAGUAUAGAUUUCCCAUUCCAAGGAUUAGUGACCUGCUAGAUCAACUCGGAAAAGCCAGUAUCUUUUCGAAAAUUGACUUGAAAAGUGGCUAUCAUCAAAUACGGGUAAGACCUGGCGACGAAUGGAAGACAGCCUUCAAGACAAACGAAGGAUUAUUUGAAUGGAUGGUCAUGCCAUUCGGCCUUUCUAACGCACCCAGCACCUUCAUGAGAUUGAUGAACCAGGUACUUCACCCAUUUCUCAACAAAUUCAUAGUAGUUUACUUCGAUGACAUACUUGUUUACAGCACAAACAAUGAUGAGCAUUUACUACACCUAAGGAAGCUGUUCCAAGUCUUAACAGAAGCGGAACUCUACAUAAAUACUAAGAAAAGCAUGUUUAUGAAAAAAGAAAUUGCAUUCCUCGGCUUUAUAAUCAAACAAGGAAGCAUAAGCAUGGAACCAAAGAAAAUCGAAGCCAUCCAUACAUGGCCGACUCCUGCCUCCAUUAAAGAAAUACAAGCCUUCCUCGGCCUGGCUUCGUUUUACAGGAAAUUCAUCAGAAAUUUCAGCUCUUUAGCCGCACCACUAACUGACUGUCUAAAGAAAGGAAACUUCAAAUGGACCCCGUUACAACAAGAAAGCUUUGAAGAUAUCAAAAAGAAGCUCACAUCCAGCCCUAUCCUUAGAUUACCAGAUUUCUCUUCACCUUUUGAAGUAGCAGUUGAUGCAUGCUGUACAGGGAUUGGAGCUGUCCUAGUACAACAAGGACAUCCUAUCGAAUACUUCAGUGAAAAACUCAGCACCUCAAGACAGACCUGGAGCACAUACGAACAAGAGCUGUAUGCCCUCGUCCGAGCACUAAAACAAUGGGAACACUACCUGAUCUCUAAAGAAUUUGUACUCCUAACUGACCAUUUCUCACUAAAAUACCUUCAAGCUCAAAAGAAUAUCAGUAGGAUGCACGCACGCUGGAUAUCCUUCCUCCAAAGGUUUGACUUCGUGAUCAAACACCAAUCAGGCAAAGAGAAUAAGGUGGCCGAUGCUCUAAGCAGAAAAGGCUCCCUACUCACAAUACUGUCCUCGGAAAUCAUAGCAUUCAAACAUUUACCCGACUUAUACGAAGGUGAUACUGACUUCAAGGAUAUCUGGUACAAAUGCUCCAACUUCUUAGACGCUGAUGACUACCACAUUGUUGAAGGAUAUCUAUUUAAAGGAGAACAAUUAUGCAUCCCGCACACCUCACUACGUGAAGCCUUAAUAAAGGAAGCACAUUCUGGAGGGCUAGCUGGACAUUUCGGACAGAAUAAGACAUUGGAGAUCACUUCCAAACGAUACUACUGGCCGCAAAUAAGAAAAGACUCCAAUAAUUUCGUAAAAAGAUGCCCCAUCUGCCAAAGAACCAAAGGCUCCAGCACGAAUGCAGGAUUAUACUCGCCACUACCCAUCCCGACCUCAAUAUGGGAAGAUUUAUCAAUUGACUUCGUGAUUGGAUUACCAAAAACACAAAGACAAUUUGACUCAAUAAUGGUUAUAGUGGACAGAUUCAGCAAAAUGACACAUUUCGUAGCAUGCAAAAAGACAAAUGAUGCAAUCUACAUAGCCAACCUCUUCUUUAAAGAAGUAGUACGACUACAUGGAGUACCUAAAAGCAUAGUAUCAGACAGAGAUGUCAAGUUCCUGAGUCACUUUUGGCGAACACUGUGGAAGAAGUUUGACACAACACUGAAAUUCAGCACCACAGCCCACCCACAGACAGAUGGACAAACUGAAGUAACAAACAGGACCCUCGGUAAUCUGCUACGCUGCCUUAGCGGGUCAAAACCAAAACAAUGGGAUCUAGCAUUGGCUCAAGCUGAAUUCGCCUUCAAUAAUAUGAUGCUGCCUACUUUCAAGCACAUAUGGGUCAACUGUCAAGCACAUGAUGCUGCCUACUUUCAGAUGAGCAACAUCAUUCCGAUCUUAACAGUCAGAAGAGCAAAUCAAAUCAAUCCUAGCAUAUUCACAAAUCACAACUAAAAAGUACAAACAUUACAAAAUAAAACAUGCAGCGAUAUCAACAAGCAUUCUGAUAAAUAAUUAGCCAAUUAAUUGACAUUACAAAAUAAAUAAAGA
rnacentral:lncRNA from 1 species